rnacentral:lncRNA from 1 species
UAUCCAGGAAAUCACAUUGAACAAAAUAUGUACUUUCUCCCAUACCCUGACCAACUGCCAAAUCACAAUUCGAGUUCUUAUACUGAAAAUGGCAUUGAAGAAAAUAUGUACCCUCACACGUACCCUUGGGUAAUACCCAAUUAUUCUCCUACUCAGCAAUUGCCAUGUGAUGAUUUUUUUUCUGCGAAAACUUAUAGUGCAGAGAAUAUUCUCAUAAACCAGCAGCCACAGCCAAAUCACAAUUUGAUUUCUCAUUUUGGAAAUCAAAUUGAAGAAAAUACUCCUACACACCCCCUGUUGCUACCAGAUAGCAAUUUUGAGACGCAGCUACCACUACAUCACCCUUUGGUGACACAUAAUUUUGCUGACAAUAAUUUUCAGGAAGAAUGCCUGCCAAUUAGAGAAUUCAAGUCAUACGGUGGCUACAAUAGGCUAAAUGACGCCUCAUUUUCAACAGUGCAGACAGCAGUUCAUCAAGAGCAAGAAUUAAAAUUUUCUAAUGGUUCUUUCGAUAAUUGCGAUUUUUCUCACUCUGAAAUUUACAGUUAUGAGCAGGUAGAUAACCUGAUCAAUUCCCUAAGGGCUUUCCUGGAAGAAAACUCUCGCGAAGAGACUGGAAAACCCGUUACCUCUGACUUUAACCCACCAAAGUCAGAUGGAGAAGCUUCAGCUUAUGCACAGGAUAGCAGUGACACGAACAUUGCUACCAACGAUGCAUGGAUGAAAGAACGACUUGAGAAUUUUGCUUAAGUAGCAAAAUUUAAAACAACAAUCAAAUCCUCUUGGAGGUAAUAGUAUUAAAUUUACUAAAUCUUUAUGGGUGAUACUGCUUCGCUCACAUUUAUUGUGUUCUGAAUUCUGUGAUCUUAAGUACGAUGUAAACACUGUGAAAUCCUCUAGGAGGAAAGUACUGUAAUCUUAAGUAGCAUGUAAAAACGACUAUAACAUCCUCUUAGGAGGAAAAUACUGUAAUCUUAAGUAGCAUGUAAAUAGUUAUGAAAUCCUCUAGGAGGAAAGUACUAUAGUUUUAAGCAGCAUGUAAACAACUAUGAAAUCCUCUUAGGGGGAAAGUAUUGUAAUCUUAAGUCUCAUGUAAAUAACUAUGAAACCCUCUUAGGAGGAAAGUAGUAAAGUACUAUUAUUAUUGUCUAGUAAUGUUUGAGGCUUGUUACAUACUAGCAUAGUUGUUGUUUAGUCUAAUUGGAUACUCCCUUUGGUCUUUAUCUUGCAUCUAUGUGUAGCAUAAUGUCAAGUUUUUCUAUCCUUUAGUUACCAGUCGAUCAUAAGUGGAAAUGUGGGACACUGGAAUCUCACUAUCCUACUCGAUCAAAUUCCUUCCUGGAGAAGGGGACACCUUUAUGAGGGAGCAGCGAAGGUCACUUGUAACUGCAAAAUCAGAGAAGGAAUCAAAAAAAGGAAAAUGGUAGUCACAUCGUGGGGUCUUAAACUACUUGGGCAACGCGUCCAUAUUUUUACCCCCUUUUUUGGGAACAUUUAUAUUUGUCCAUCAAAUAUUGUCAACAAAUAACUAAGGGAAAGAAAUUUGAUCAGGAAUGCUGUAUUAUCAAUUAAUUUUCAAAUUCUCAGUUUGUCUUGGGAAUUAUUCUGUGUUAGGUGUUUUCCUUUACAAAAAUAAUUUUUUUAAAAAAUUUUGAGGUUAAUGUAUUUGGAUGAAUAAAUACUAAUACACAAUAUAAAUUUAAGAUGGAGAGAUGGAUAAAGUUCAAAUCAAUUUUUAAAAUCUUUAUUUUUUUCAUAAUUUUAAUUCGGGUAGCUACUUAAAUAGAAUUAUUUAAAAAUUACUUAACGAACUUGGGGCGCACUUUCCCAAAAAUUGUUGAUAGAAAAAAAUAAAAUAAAAGCGGCUGUAGACGAGUUACUUGUUUUCAGGCAGAAUAAAGCGCAUACUAAUUGGCUAUGAGAUGUUACAUGUGGUAUCAGUGUUCAGUGCACCAAUUACUGCUAUCGGCGUGGAAGUAUGGCUGCAAUUCUUGAAAUUGAGGUGAAUAUAAAUGGACUCCACAAGCAGGACUCCUGGCCACUUCUUGUGACAGUCAUGCAUUCCACUGGGGAAUUUGAUAAUUUACCGUUGUGUUUUUGUACAUGUUUACAAUAAAAAUAAAAUAAAGUUACGAUGGCGUUAUUGUUUCUAAGUCAUUGUUGUAAAAAAAAAUUAUAAUUAUAAAAUAAAAUUAAUAAUAUAUAAUAAAUAUAAUUUUUAAAUAAUAAUUUUAGCAAAAGUAAUAAAGAUAUUAUAGGCGUUUCACCGUACACACGUAAGAUCAAAUCAACUUAAUAUUUAAGCCACAAUAAUAACUAUUUAUUAAAUAUUUUCGUGUUGUUGCUUGUAGCUAUCCAACCUUAAUACCAUAGAAGACCUUAUUAUUUUGAGUAAUGAUACAGCCACAAACUCUUGUACAAAUUUAUUUUGUACAAACUGACGUGACAUUAAUUCAUUGGUUGAAUGAAAAUAUAAAAUAGUAAAAACAAAUCAUGUGGGCCAAGUGAUAUUUAAUUCAACCAAUCUUAUCAUGCUACAUCAGUUUGUACAAAAUAAGUUUGUGCAAGAGUUUGUGGCUAUAUCAUUACUCUAUUAUUUUUAGUCAAAGAAAAAACCAUUGUUCUCAUCAUUCUUUUAAUUGGAGUUUCAUGAAGUCGAGUAAGGUUCAUGUGACUAUAACAUAUGUGGAAAAAAAGAAUAAGAGAAAGGCAGUUAAAUAAAAAAUAAAAGAAGUUGGAAAUUUGCUUUAAAGAGAGGGAAGCACAUUCACACGUGAGAGAGAGAGAGAAAGAAAGCAGCCAAAAAUCAACCGGAACACUGUCGUUUGUAGCACGAAAAAUUACAGCCAAAACCAGUCAUCGCUGCCAUCAAUUCUAUCGGAAUUAGGCCACGCCACCGGUUGGGUUUUACUCCUCACGUCACCACCUUUCAUUCUCGACCACCCACUGGCACCGGAGGAGCCGAUUGGCUGUUAAUCGAUUGUUGGAGGAUUCAUGACUGUCGAUCUAGAUUCCAUCACCGUCGUCGCACGUGGGAGCUCACAGCCGAUACCUUUGAACUCAGCUCGGCUAGAAUUGUCUAACCCGAGCUUCCUGGUCACCGUUACUUGAAUUCCGAUCACCAUUGACCGACUAGGACAAUUAGGUAAUUUCACAUUUUGAGGGCAAUUUUGUAAUUUUUGACCCUCUAGAUAUUUUAGUAAUUUUUGAAAUUAAGGAUUGGUUGUAAUUAUGAUUCCAAGAUUCGGUGAUUUGCAAUUUCAGAGUAUUUUAAUAAUUUACAAAUGCGAGGAUGUUUUGGUAAUUUUAUCGACACAUGAGUUGUAAAUUAUGGAUUGAUGUUUGUUUCAAGUUUAUUACAUAAAUUUAGUCCUAAUUCCGGUUUACCAAAAAUAAUUAUGUCGUUUCUUUAAUUUAGGAGGAUCUGCGAGAGAGAACCAGUCCGUAGGCAUGGACAAUAAUCGAGUUUGAGCGUUGUCACUGUGAGUGGAAUAUACAAAACCUAUUUAUUAUGAUAGUGAAACAUGUUUGUAAAAUAAAGUAUUUUAAAGGUUUUGAUUUAAUAAUUUUCUUAAAAUGGAUUUUAUUCACGCAUUGAUAUUUUAUUAAAAUGUUUGAUUAAUGGUUUUCCGUAUCGACUUUGAAUAAAAUAUGAUCGUAUUUUAAAGACAAGAAAAGUGGAUUUGGAUGUGAUAAUAAAUUUCAAGUAUGUUAAAUAGAAAGGAAUGUGAGUUAUAGUAUAAUUUUAUGUUCAUGUAUACGUGUAUAAGACAUUGUUUGUUAAAUUAUUGGACAGUAUCCUUCCUCGGUUAUAGUGAUACAAAUAUGAUAAGGCUUUUGGGGCCCGUCUGAACACACAUCGAGGCUUUGGGUCAUGUGUUUGGGGUGCUUUUGCCUUUUGAGGGCAUAUGCAUGUAGUAUGAUGAUAAUAGUAAUACAGAUACAAAUGAUACAGAUGAGAUACAGACCUUUGGGGCCCAUCUAAUUACACACAGAGGGUUUGAGCCGUGUUCUUGGGCACUUUUGUCCUUUGGGGACUAGAUUAUGCAUGCACAAAUAUGAUGAGAUAUAUGACGAGAUAUGAGAUGACACUUACUUGUCUACCCAUGUAGCUCCAAGGCAUGAUGGUGCCUAGAUAGUAUGUUAUUACCCAUCCGUUGAGGUUUGGAUACGAUGAGAUUAUUCCCUUUGGUACUUGUUUAGUGAUGAUUUCAGAUUUAUAUAUUUUAUAUGAUAUUUUGAUAUGAUUUCCAUGGUUAUUACGCACGCGAUUAUAUAUGCUCUUUAAGGUUGGUAAUAUGAUUUAAAUGUUAAAUGAUUUAUUAAUGUUUUCUCGCAUAUGGUUUGAUGAAAUCGUGUUUAGAAAUGGUAUGAUUAUUUUUUAAAGUAAAAAAAUUAUUUUUAAAAAUCAUUAUCCACUCACUGAGCUCACUGAGUUUUAUACUCAUCUCGCUUUAUUAUAUUUUCCUCCCCCUUUCCCCCCCCCCCCCCCCCACAGGAGGUUGCAGGUGCACUAAAUCGACCCAGGGACUAUAGAUAUUUUGAAAUUUGUCCACAUGAUGGUGUUAGAAAAUAUAGAUGAUUUUUGUUAAGACAUCCUAAUCAUCUUUUUUUUUUGGGUUGUAUUAUUUUGUUGUAUUAUUCUUUUGGGAUUAAGGAUAAACCAAUAUAUGUUAAUAUUAGUUAUAGUAUAAUAUUUUACUACCCUAGAGAUAUCUUGGGUAAAAUUUAGUAUUUUUGUUGAGGGUGUUGAUCAUUAAGUUGGUUGUAUAUUGAAUUAUUUUGGAAGUACUUGUUUUGCAUAAUUGUAGAUUGAGAGUGUUAUAUUUAUAAAGGAGACUUUGUUGAAUUUUCGGCAAAAUCCUUACUAAUUAGAUCAUUAUCAAUCCAGUUGUGAUGAGAUUAGAUAGAUUCGCUUUGAGAUUUCAAGGUCGGUCGUUUUAGUGAGUUUAUAGCUAGGUUUCAUCUGUAGAAGCUUCUUCUUUUGUAUUCUACAAUGGUUUUGAAAUUGUUAUUAUUUAUUAAUUUGAAAAUCUUCACCUAAUAAAUUGAAAGAAAAAUUAAGAUAAGGAAUAAAAUCAAACCGCAACAGGUACUACUUUUACCACAAAAAUGAGCAAAUGACACCAUAUAAUUUACUACUGAAAAUGGUCCGGACUUGUUCCAACUCAUUAUUGAAGCAAAAAACAAUCAGGAUAAACACCUAUUACUUGCAUGAAUCUGAGAAGGAAUGAUAAAACAUCGGGUUCGGGCUGGGUUUAGGCCUACCUAGAACCGGCCUGAAGUUUUUCAACAAGGGCUCAGUUUUUUCAAACACUGGCUGGAUCGAGCCCGACACCAUCUGGGCAUCGAUUUUUUAUCCGGGCACCUGGAGCCUGGAUAUAGCAAUGCUCUAUAUAGCUUGAGAUAAGCUCGUGCCAUGCUUUUUCAUUAGAUAAGCAAAAACAAUAGUCAGACUGAAAGGUGACAAUUUGAAUAAUAUACAUUUUCUUCCCCAAGAUUUGGAGAAUAAACUUUUCAGAUUCGUUGAGUCUAUUACCACUAGAGUAUACAAGUAUAAUCAUAGAAAUAUAGCCAAGAUGGGAAAUAAAUGGCACCUUCUGCAUCUUUCCAUGAAGCAAUGAACCAAACAUACCACCACCCUGCAUUUUAGCUUCAUCAAUAAAAUGGAUACACUCAUCAAAAUAUUGUGAUAAAUUUGUAUCUCCUUUGUCCACAACUAUUUCACAAAGAACAAAAAGAGAAUUAACAAGGAUUCUAGCCACUAAAAACAGCUUCAUAAGAAGAUAAGCAUCGAUUGGGCUAGAGGAGUGUUAGGUCAAAAUAAUAAAUAAUAAAUAAAUUUAUGAAUAAAUUAUUAACUACGAAGAUAUUCCAACUCAGAGAAAAAAGUGGUAAACGUACUAAACGGAGCUCCACGUACCCAAAUAUAUGGACACAUGGUGCUCCAAUUAAGCAAACAAAUUUAUCACCAGAUUGUGCUCAUAAAUAGAGGCAAUAUGUCACAAAUUUAAACAUUCACACAUCCCAUAAGCUCUGUUCAAAAACACUACCGUCAUCAUCUUUCUCUAAUUCUCUUUAUUCCAUCUUCCUCACAUCAUAAUUUUCCUACACGCCCUUGCUUGAGCGCCACGGUAUCCUUGCAGGCACACACCCACGCCUUGCCACCCAAGUAUCAAAGGAGAGAAGAGUGAACCAAAUUCGCGGAGGUAAAAGCCUUUUCCUUCAACCUCCAAAAAGGGCUCAGACUUACAAGCCCAAUGGCAUCCAAUAAGUAGAGUCCAAAAGGUGAAGAUACUUGUAUUAGCUCAGACUUUUAACCGUAAAAACACUUGCGAAGAAAAAGGAUAAAAAAAUUAUGUGGAUUUUUUACUACUUGAACAACAAGGAGACAGCGGAAGAAAACAAAAGAAGCAGAAUAUUCGAUAGCAUUAUGCUAGCUGAGGGCCUACGGCAAAUAACUACUUCUCAAGGAAGGGGACACGUCAACUUCACUUCACUCCUUCUCAAAGAAGGAGAUACUUUCUGGUGGAAAGCUGGCCGUACGAUGUUGAAGGAAACGGAUCUCUCCUUGACGCUGUCAAAGGAAAAUUCAAAAUUCUCACGCGGGUUAAUCAUUCCAACUCAGCCCAGAUACGGACCAUCACCAAGCUUGAGUGUAUAAAAAUGAAUGAUCACGCCAUUUCUCUGUAAAUCGCAAGGCGAAAUUUUUCUUAUGAAAACAGAAUCGGAGCGAGAGCCAGCUAAGACCCCAGCACUUCGAAUCCGAGAUGGGCUAUCUUGCAAGAUGAAUAAGUUUCCAUCAAUCUUCUGAGCAAGAAGAGACUUGACCCUGAUUUCUCUGUCCAAGCAAUUAACAAAGUUGAUAUAUACAACUUCGAGCCGUUCAAUUAGUCGGUAAGUAUCCUCAGAUACCCAUCACUCUUGAUAGUAAUUGUUUUUGUUUCUUGCAGAGGGUAUCAUAAACAUAUUUUGAAUAAAGGGUUAUUUUUCUUCUGUGUUUUAACUUCAGGCACAACCUCAGCAGCCAUCAGCUCUUCAUAUCGUAUAUGAUUGCAGAAAUCAUGUUGCAGAAAAUGGCUUCUGAAGGGUAAGAAAGAGCUUGCCUUAUGGGCUCUUUCAAUAUAAGUUAUUGAUGUUGAGUAUGACACUAAGUAUUAAAAAAAUUAUUACUCUUGGCAUUUUAUUUCAGGUAGAACCUAGCAACUACCAAAUCACAAUGUGUAUUUGUGAUUCUAGAAAUCAUGUUGCAGAAAAUACUGUUCAAGGGGUUAAGAAGGAGUCAAACAAAAACUUAUACGCCAUUAUCAAUUCAUAAAUGUGUGCCAGCAACGCAUCCAAGAAAAUGGACUCGCUCUUCCUCUUCAAUCAGAUAUCCACUUGCUAUGCAAGAUAUUAUUUCAAUAGCAUGUGUAACCCACAAUUACACUUGUGUUGGGGAAUAAUAAGGUUGAAAUUUUAAAAUUUUCAAAUGCUUCAUGCUUGCUGAAUCCUUUCCUAGCUCUGUUAUUAAUUGUAGUAUAUCGCCUAGUUCUUGAAACUUGGCCGUGUUCAUGAAAGUUAUUGGGGGCUAUGCUCUAUACAUUGAUCCUCUUGCAUCCAUGAAUGGUAAUAACUUCUUUAGUUCUUUAUGUGAUUUUUGAACUGUAUUUUCUCGGUCAACUCAAUAGUCAAGUAGUCAACCUUAACGAUAUAUAUGCAUAACCACUUGGCCAUGGACCAAGUGGUGAACCCACGCCCUUAGGGUUGGUAAAAUCUGGAUCUAGAUCCGGAUGCGGGUAAAAUCUACAAUGGAUGUAGACGGAUACUUUAGAUAUUCGGAUCCGUAAAAAUUAAAAUUUAAAAAUUUAAUAUAUAAUUUAAAAAUUGAAUAAUUUACCUAAUAAUAUCAAAUAAAAUUCAAUCGUAAUUUAACAAUUAACAAUUCAACAUAAAUAAGUAAAUAACAUAAGACAACAUCAUAAAUUCACAAAUAAAAAUAUCACAAUAUAAAUCAAUCAUAAAAAAUAACAUAAGUUCAAGCACACCACUAUUAAAAUCCGCAAAUAAAAACACUACAAAUCCAUGGAAAUUUCAAGCUUCGAAUCCAACAUAUCAUGCCACUAUUUGGAGAGAAUGAAAAAUUAUUUCCUUGCUCCCUUUCGGCGGCUAUGUUCAACUAAUCCCGAAACCUAAUUAAAGUAAUUUGUAAAGUGAGUUAGCAUAUGUGAGAAAAAAAUAGAUUAAGCAUUUACAUUAUAUUGAAAAUUAAUGCAUUUAAUUAAAAUAAUUAAACAAAUUAGCAAAGAAAAUUAAUCAAAAAUAAAUUAAAUUAAACCAACAAGGAAAUUAAAUUAAGCCAGCAACAUUUUCAAGUUUUAUCAGAUUUACAUUAGAUUAAACUCAUUAAAUACAAUCAAACAGUUAGCCACAAUACCAAAUUGUUAAACAGAAAAAAGCCAUGUAAUUAAUAGAAAGAACAUAAAAUUAAUAUAAACGUACAGUAACAACUACCGGCAAGAACAACCCGAUCAGGUGAGGGUUGGUGACGGCGAAGCGUGUAGCAACAGUGACAUGGCAAGGCUUCAAUGACAGUGAGGCUUUGAUGACUGUGAGGCGCGCAGCGACAGCGAUGUGCUUAGGCGAGCUUCAACCUGAGGCUAAGGCGAGGCUGUGAGGAAGACGGUGAUCAGUCGACAACGUUAGAAGCCCCUUCGGUUUUGGGCAUUAGAGAUUUGAGGGUCAUGGCUGCUGGUAAGGUGAGCUACUGUGAGUCAGUGAGUGUGUGUGAAAGUUGAAUGCGUUAUUGACUUAGGGUUAGGGAUUAAAUUUUUUUUAUUUAAGUUAAUAUUUAUUUUUAAUUCAAUUUUUUUAUUAAAAUAAAAUUCAUCCAGAUCCAGAUAUCUAGAUUUUCAGAUAUAAGUGCAUCCAGAUCCAGAUUUUUUUGUUAUUCCUGCACACCAUCACCAAAGUGAGGGCAUGGGCUUGAGUUCCUUUUUAAGAACUCUAAUAUAAUUAUUAGUAUAUAAUUGGGUAACGGUAGGCAUCUAUCCUUAAUGUAAGUAGGACCAAAUAUCCUUUUAAAUUUUCGUAAAGGUAGAAAUUCAGACUUUGUUAUAAUGUACUUGAUUUAAGAUGAUGUUGGUGAUAAAAUUUGGGGCAUAUAAUCAGAGUGUAACAGGCAUACAACAGCCCCAUAACCCAACUGGUCUUUGCAAAAUAUGAAGAGAAAAUUCAAAGGACAAGAGUAGAAUGAGAAGAUAUUAAAAAACGAGCAUGAACUACCUUAUUAAUUGAAAAUCAACUCAGCUAUCAUUUAACCUACCAACAGAGGAGCCAGCUCCUUUAAAAGCCCAAUUGAAUCAUAUUAAAAUGAGCUAAUUAGAGAUUAAAACAUGAUCUUAUCGAGAAGAGUCUCAUAGUUGACAUGUGUAUAUCCCUAAAGAGGCCAACAAACUGAAUUUAAAUGGUCAAAUUACCUAAAAACCCCACAUGAGGAGGGAAAUAGCUUAUUAUAGCUUGCCAUGUGUCUAAAAAGACACUAAUUAGAUGUUAUUUCCUUAUAUAAUGUCAGGUCAGUCUUAACAAAACAAGUUCAGCUUCUUCCCAGCAACUCUCAAUUUUUCUCUGAUACUAGGGUUUCAACAAAACAAGCACCCUCUAUAAUACUCACUUAACUUGACCGUUGGAAUGUCAUUAUCGGCCACCAUCGACGUCGUCUCUAACGACUGUUUUAUCUUAUUUUUAACAUUGUCACUGUUUUAUUCAUCCACCAAAGUCUGUUAUGAGACGAAUCAUCCCUCACCAUUAAUCAAAUUGCCCUUCAAAAAUAUGCUCUCAUAAUAUUUUUGGGUUGAAUCAAAAUCAGACCGAAAUAGAUGAUCAUAAUAUAUCUUUUCUGUAAAUAAAAAAAUAUUUUUAUAGUUAUAUAUAUAUAUAUGUGUGUGUGUGUGUGUGUGUGUGUGUGUGUGUGUGUGUUGAGCUAAGCCAAGAAGAGUUUACUGGUUACUACUAUUAGCACAAACCUCUAACAAAUUCAAGAUAAAAAACUGACUUAGAGGGAAAGUGAUGCAUACUUUUGUAAAUGUUCGUAAUUAGAAAAGUUUCAUUUUUGACCAUUGUUGUUAUCAAAAAGUUUUGAAGGCAAAGAGAGUCUCACACCUUUAGACUUAUCCAAUCCAAACAAAUUUCCUUCGAAGACUGAAAGAGACAUGUGGUUGCUUUUCCACGACUGAUCAAAGACGGAGAUGCUUUAUUCGGUUGCAAUAAUUCAAUCAUGACGUAAACCAAGGUACUUUUAUGAUAUAUAUUAAUUUUGGAGAUUUGUACUGAUAAUUCAAAAUAGAGUGAUGAUACAUGUACAAAUUUUUAUAUAAAUUUAUUUUGUAUAAUUUAAUGUGACAUUAAUUUAUUGGUUGAAUGAAAAUAUAAAAUAAUAGAAAUAAAUCAUGUGGGUCAAGAAAUAUUUAAUUCAAUUAAUUUUAUCAUAUCACAUCAAUUUGUACAAAAAUUUAUGGUUAUAUUAUUACCCUUUAAAAUAUAAUUAUAAAAGUAGUUGUCGUAUAAAUUUCAAAUUAAUAAACAAUCAUGAACUCUAGCAAUGGAAAACGAAAAAUGGUAUGAUGUAUUCACGGAUGGAUGAGGGAACUAUAAAAUUCGUUACAAUUUUAUUUUUGAACUUUAUAAUUUAGAAAAUGAUUUUUCUUAGUUACAUUUAUUGUAACUUACGAUCAAAAUUUUCAUUUUUCAGUGUAAAAAUAAGUAACAAAACAAUGAAACUAAGUGAAUCAAUGGAUGGAUUUUACUUAACUAUAAAUUAAAGAGACUUUAAAAAAUAAUGUCAACUUAAUUAGAAAAAUUCUGGAUAAUUUUACGGAUACAUGCUAACUAUAAAUAAAGCCUUGAGUUAAUGGUGGAUUUUAUUAUCUCAUCAAAUUUAAAAUCCCAAGUUUGUUUCUCCUUAAAUAAAUUUGUAUAAAGAAAUAAACAUUUAUAAAUAUAUCCUAAAUAUUAGUGGAUAAAAUAAAUUAAUAAAUAGUGAAGAAAGUGGACAGCUGGUCCGUUGAGUGGAAUUUUUCAAGAAGCCAUAUUAAAUUUUCACUCAAGUUUUUUGUUUGCCUCCAAUAAAUUUAUAAUUUGUUCCUGUUGGCUUUAAAAAUUAACAAAAUAAUAGAUACAAAAUUACAUUUUAAUCAUCAAAACCAGCACAUAAACUAAAAUUGAGUAUAAAUACCUAGAAAAAAUGAAAAUCCCUCGCUAAAUAAAAUCUAACCCCGCCUCUGGCUCUUCCACCCUGUCUGAGGUUAUGUACAUCAUCACAGUACUUAUUGUUCAUCAUCACCCUGUCUGGAGUGCCGUCAUCGGCCAUCAGUAGCGCUAAUGACUGUUAUCUUUUAUUUAAUUUCAGGGCCAUCCCGAUUUUGUUCAUUCUCAAAAAGUUGUUACGAGACGAAUCACCCCUCACCAUCAACCAGACCAUCCCCCCGAAAAACUAGCUUUUAUAAUAUUUUUGGCUGAAUCAAAAUUAGAUCAAAACAGAUGAUCACAAUAUAUUUAUCUCUAAAUAUUAAUAGAUUUUUUUAUUGUAAUAUACUUAUUAGUGUUUGAAUAUAUAUAUAUAGAGAGAGAUAUUCUAAUUCAGAAUUUUAAAAUAUGGGAAAGUAAAAAUUUUUAAAUUAUAAACUUUUAAAACUGUGUAGUUUUAAAAUUUUUUCACACUUUAAAAUUUUGAACAAAAAAACUAUUAUAUAUAUAUAUAUAUAUCUCCAGAUCCUUUGACUCGAGCUAAGCCAAGAAGAGUUUGCUGGUUUAACGCUAUUAGCACAAUAACAACCAACAAAAUUCAAGAUAAAAAACUAACAUAAAAGGAAGAAAUGCAUACUUUCGUUAAUAUUCGUAAAUCGAAAAUUUUCAUUUUUGACUACUAUUUUGUUAUCAAAAAGCUUUAAACACAAAGAGAGUCCCACACCUUUAGACUAUCCAAUCAAACAAAUUUCCGGCGAGGGCUGAAAGGAGACAUGUUGUUGAUUUUCCACGACUGAUCAAAGAAGGAUAUACUUUGUACUGUUGCAAUAAUUUAAUCAUGACGUUUACCAAGGUUAAAUUUGUAAUGACAAUUUAAAAUAUAAUUAUAAAUAUAGCAGAAGAUUCUAGAUUUACCUGAAGUAGUAGAAGAUUCUAGAAUUCCCCUUAGUCAAAUAACCUCACAACAAAUACUAUGACAAUGUUAACGGUUUUUUUAAUUAAUGGCAACCCCAUGUAAACAUGUUUUUCAUUAAUUUUAUAAAUAACAAUUAUUCUAUAUAGUUUUAACGGUUAUUCGGUUGCAUUUUAUAAAAAAUAUUUAAAUAAAAAAAAUAUCAGGAAAAAUGUUGAAGACACUGAAUACUAACAAAAAACUGAUAAAAUGAAUUGUACCAAUAUAUGAUUUUAGAGUAUUGAGUGUUAUAAUUUAUGUUAUCAGUUUUUGUCAAACACCAGUACUAAGAGGAUGAGGAUGAUGGUGUUGAACCAAUAAGAGGAUGAUGGUAGGGUCUCAAGUCUCAAACCAUGUGGGUAAGAAGCUGUUAGCCUGAUACUUUUUAUAAUUUUCCACACUAUUUUUGUCACUUUGCUCAUUAGCUGAACUUCAAGUAAAUAGUUGAUUAUUCGUAGGGUUAUUUCCAUAUUAUUUUUAUAAUUUUCCACUCAGAAGUUGUGAGAACGUACAGUUAACACCGUUGGAGAAAAAACCGAAGGUUGUCUCACUGUAGCAAAACGCGUCAUGGGAAUGUAGAGAGUUAACGCCAUCACUCUUUGAUGGUAUAAAAUAAGUACCAUGAUCACCUACUCGAUCACCGAGUGACAUGAUCACACACUCACACUCACUCUUUGGGUCUCCCUCUCCCAGAGCAAAUUCCUCCCAUCUGACCAGGAAGGGAGAGAUACCACUGUGACUAUUCUGACUUAGAACAGUCUUGGGGGGUUUCAUCAAACCCCUAUCAGCAAUUGAAGAAGUGGUUACUACUCUCAUUUUCCUUUGAACUUCUUUCUAUUGUUAAAAAAAGAAAAAAAAGAAAAAAAAAAAGAAAAAACGAAAAGAAAAAGAAAAAAAGAAGAGAAUCUGAAAUGGAGAGUCAUAUGGGGCAGGGGUACAAGUUCCAGCCAUCCGAUGAGCUAAGCGUCAGUCUUCUCAAGGAGAAGAGGCUUGAUCCCCAUUUCUCAUAUGGUCCUAUCAAGGAUAUUGGUCAUAUCUGCAGCCUAGAGCCAGAGGACUUAGCAAGUAUGUAUAUGUAAUUUUUUUUUACCUUUCCCUUUAACCUUCUGUACUGAAAGAUUUUACCAGCUGAAUUAAUUGGCAUGCACCUUAUAUUAUUUUUAUGAUGCAGCGGAAUCAGAAACUGAGUCUGAGGAUCAAGCUUGUUACUUUUUCUAUGAACCUCAUUACAAGUACAGGAACAGUAACCGUGUCCACCGAAGAACAGAAGCAGGGCAAUGGAAAAUUACUAGUGAAGAUUCCCAAAUCGAAGCUAGUAACCGCCUUAGUGGCACCAAAAAGUUCUUGACUUUCUACCGUCGGAGUCCUGGUUCUAAGGUACCAGUUAAGACCGACUGGGUUAUGCAUGAGUACCACGUCAAGGACGAUCCCAGUUAUGAGGUAUGAGCCUAAUUUGUUUUUGUCACUCACUUGAAAUUUCAUUUUUUUUAUGCAUUGUUAUAUCUUUGGAUGUAUGAUAAUAAGGCUGGUUCUUCUUGAUGAUUGAAGUGAUUAAUUGGUGAAGCAUGCCAGAUUACUGUGUCUAUUGGAGAUAUAUUAAGAUUAGUUAAGCAGGCAGUCUUAAAGUGUAUAUCUUUGUUGCCUAUUACUUAAAACAUUAAUGGGUAGGAUGAAAGAAAUUGUGACGUUAUUUAAAAUGCAACCACAAAUAAGUGUCCCAAAGCAUUUGCAUGACUUGAUGAAUGAAUCUGUUGUUGUAUGGUGAGUGGCAAUUCUGGCAGUGCCAACGAAUACCUGAAAAUUAAUUGAUAGUGCAUUAUUCCUUAUUUUGGUCUUGCCUUUAAUUCAUGCAGAAGGAAUUUGUUCUGUGUUGCAUCAAACGAAAACGGAAAAAGAAGAAGAAGCGUGGUAUUUCGAAAGCUGAUGGAGGGGAACCAAGUCGACAAUUGGUUUCUCCACCUCAGCAAUCACCUAGUGACCGUCCGAUUUCGGAUGGAGUUCAUAACACUCACACUGUCCCUCAGCAGCAACCACAGAGUCACAAUUCCAUUUAUUAUCCUGGAAAUCCUACAUUACAAAACACUGUAUACCCGCGGUCAAUAACAAAUGACGCCCCAACCCAGCUACCACAAAUUUACCAUUUGAUUUCUAAUAGAAAUCAUAAUGCUGAAAGUAUUCCUACAAACCAACCAAAUCAAAAUUCGAUUUCUUAUCUUGGAAAUCGCAUUGAAGAAUAUAUGUACUCUCUCACGAAUCCUACUCAGCAAUUAAUUUCUGCUAGAAAUUAUACUGAAGGAAGUAUUCCCAUAAACCAGUGGCCACAGCCAUAUUACAAUAUGAAUUCUCAUUCUGGGAAUCAAGUUGAAAACGGCUGUCCCACAAACCCCCUGCUGACACCAGAUAGCUAUUUGGAGUCGCAGGGACCACUACAUCACCCUUUGGUGAUAAGUAAUUUUGCUGGAAAAAAUUUUCAGGAAGAAUGUCUGCCACCUGGAGAAAUCAAGUCAUACGGUGGCUACAAUAGGCUAAAUGAUGCCUCUUUUUCUGCAGUGCAGACACCAAUUUCUCAAGAACAAGAAUUAAAAUAUUCUAAUAGUUCUUCUGAUAAUUGCAAUUUUUCUGACUGUCAAGUUUUCAGUGAUGAUUCCCCAAGGGCUUUCCAGGAUGAAAACUCUCGCGGAGAGACUGGACAGACCCUUACCCCUGAUUUUGACCCAUCAAAGUCUGAUGGAGAAGCUUCAACUAAUGCUAAUGAUAGUAGUGACACAAACACUGCUGACGACGAAGCGUUGGUAAAAGAACUACUACUUAAGAAAGAUGAAUGUCUCCGAAUUGGAGAAUUCAAGUUAGACGGUGGCAACAGCAGGCUAAAUGACGCCUCUGUUGAUAAUUGUGAUUUUUCUAACCAUCAAAUUUCUUGUAGUGAGCAGGUAAAUUACCUGAUCAAUUCCCCAAGGGCUUUUCCAGAUGUAGUCUCUCUAGAAGAGCUGGAAAAACCCUUCCCCCUCACUUUGACCCAUCAAAGUCAAAUGGAGAAGCUCCAGCUUGUGCAGAGGAUAGCAAUGACACAAACAUUGCUUACAACGAUGCAUGGAUAAAACAACUACCGGAGAAUUUUGCUUAAGUAGCAAAAUUUAAAACAACAAUCAAAUCCUCUUAGAGGUAAUAUUGCCAAAUCUACUAUAUAUCUUUAUGUGUGAUAAUGCUUCACUCACGUUUUAUUGUAUUCUGUACGCUGUAAUCUUAAGUAGCAUGUAAACAACUAUGAAAAAUCCUCCUUAGGAGGAAAGUACUGUAAUUUUAAGCAGGCAUGUAAACAAUUAUGAAAUCCUCUUAGGAGGAAAGUACCUUAAUCUUAAGCAGCAUUGUAAAUAACUAUGAAAUCCUCUCAGGAUGAAAGUACUAUUAUUAUUGAUAAUGUGAUGUUAUCUAGUAAUCUUUGAGACUCGUUACAUACUAACGUAAUUGUUGUUUAGACUGAUUGGAUACUCCAUUUGAUCUGUAUCUAGCAUCAGUGUAGCGUAAGGUCGAGUUUCUCUGUCCUUUAGUUCUUGUUGGGUUCGUAUUUGAUCAUAUGUGGAACACUGAAAUCUCACCAUCCAAUCCGAGCAAAUUACUUCCUGGAAAAGGGAACGAGUCUGUGAGGGAGCAGGGAAGGUCAAUUGUAACUGUUAAAUUAAAGAAGGAAUCCAAAAUUAGAAGAAAAUGGUGUAAACAAAACAAAAACUUAGAAAAUGACAUAAAACUUGUAAAUUGACAUUAAAUUUGAAAUUGAACAAUAAAUGUGUAAACCAUACAUAAAACUAGUAAAUUGAUAAAAAAAAUUAUUGGAGUUGUAAAUUGCAAGAAGAACUUGUAAACAAAACAAAAACUUAGAAAAGUGACAUAGAACUUGUAAAUUGACAUUAAAUUUGAAAUUGAACAAAAAAUGUGUAAAUUACAAAUAAAAAUAGUAAAUUGAUGAAAAAUGGAGUAAAUUAUUGAUGGAUUGGUAAAUUAGAAGAAAAUGGUGUAAACAAAACAAGAACUUAGAAAAAUGACACAGAACUUGUAAAUUGACAUUAAGUCUAAAAUAAAAAAAAGGGGUAAACUACACAUAAAAUUAGUAAAUUGAUGGAAAAUGGGGUAAAUUAAUGAUGAAGUUGUAAAUUAGAAGAAAAAAGUGUAAAGCAAACAAAAACUUGGAAAAAUGACUUAAAACUUUAAAUUUACAUUAAGUGUAAAAUGAAACAAGAAAAUGUGUAAAUUGCACAUAAAACUAGUCAAUUGAUGGGAAAGAGGGUAAAUUAAUGAUGAAGGUGUAAAUUAGAAAAAAAUAUAUAAACAAAACAAAAACUUGGAAAAAUAAUUUAAAAACUUGUAAAUUGACAUUAAGUGUAAAAUAAAAUAAAAAUUGGGUAAACUACACAUAAAACUAAUAAAUUAUUGGAAAAUUGGGUAAAUUAAUAUUGGAGUUGUAAAUUGCAAGAAGAACUUGUAAACAAAACAAAAACUUAGAAAAGUGACAUAGAACUUAUAAAUUGACAUUAAAUUUGAAAUUGAACAAAAAAUAUAUAAAUCACACAUAAAACUAUUAAAUUGAUGGAAAAACUGGUAAAUUAAUAUUGAUGUUGUAAAUUGUAAGAAAAACUUGUAAACAAAACAAAAAUUUAGAAAAAUGAUAUAAAACUUGUAAAUUGACAUUAUGUGUGAAAUGAAACAAAAGAUGUGUAAAUCACACAUAAAGCUAGUAAAUUGAUGGAAAAAGAGGUAAACUAAUGAUGAAGUUGUAAAUUAAAAGAAAAAAGUGUAAACAAAACAAAAAUUUAAUAAAAUAACACAGAACUUGUAGAUUGACAUUAAAUAUGAAUUGAAAAAAAAAAUUUGUAAACCACACAUAAAAUUAGUAAAUUGAUGGAAAAAGAGGUAAAUUAAUGUUGGAGUUGUAAUUUGCAAGAAGAGUUUGUAAACAAAACAAAAACAUAGAAAAAUAACAUAGAACUUGUAAAUUGACAUUAAGUGUGAAAUGAAACAAAAAGUGUGUAAAUCACACAAAAAACUAUUAAAUUGAUGAACAAAAAAAUAAAUUAAUGUUUGAGUUGUAAUUUGCAAUAAGAACUUGUAAACAAAAAUAAAAACUUAGAAAAAUAACAUAGAACCUGUAAAUUAACAUUAAGUGUGAAAUGAAAUAAAAAAUGUGUAAAUCAUAUAAAAAGACUAAUAAAUUGAUGGAAAAAAGAGGAAAUUAAUGAUAGAGUUGUAAAUUAGAAGAAAAAAAAUGUAAACAAAACAUAAACUUAGAAAAAUGACAUAAAACUUGUAAAUUGAUAUUAAGUGUGAAAUAAAACAAAAAAUAUGUAAACUACACAUAAAACUAAUAAAUUGAUGGAAAAAUUGGUAAAUUAAUGCUUGAAUUGUAAAUUGCAAAAAAAAACUUAUAAACAAAACAAAAACUUAUAACUGUUACAUAAAACUUGUAAAUCAACUUUAACUUGUAAAUGUUGGAUAAAACUUGUAAAUCACACAUAAGAUUAGUAAAUGUAAUUUGAAACUUGAACAAAAAAGAGUAAUUACCUGAUACUUAGGUAACAUGUGACCUAUUUAUUUAGAAUUAAUAGUAGAUAUUUUUUAUUCAUAUCUAACGGUCCACGUCCAUUACGACAUCAAUGCUGUAAAUUUAGUUACGGCAUUAUAGAAUGACCCAUAUAUAUAUAUAUUAGAGAGCGAAUUAAGAUUCUAAAUUAUGUUUUAAGACAGAUCCGACCCGCUUUUCAACAUAUACUACUCCCGGUGGUUCAUUUGUGUGUGUGUGUGUAAAUUUAUUGUACAAUUAAGAAAUUUGUCAAGAUCUAGCUUUCAUGGUUAGGAGUAGCGUUUCUAAAAUUUAGGUCAGAGGUUCUAAUAAUAUUAAAAAAGAUAAAAUUUGAAAAUCAAUCUCUAAAAGAUAAAUGAGUUGAAUUUUUUUUAUUGAAAUCAAAAUAAAAAAAUAGAUUUCACAAUCACUAGAAUGAUUUUUCUUUUUUGGUAUUUUAGCUUGUCUCUUACUUCAAUAUGGUCAAGAUAAAUAAAUAAAUAACCAAUCAAAAUUAUCAUUUUGUCAAAAGUAAAUACAGACUCCUUUAUUUACUUAAAAAAAAACACUAAAGACAUAAAAACAUAAAUUUAAUACACUACAAUACUGCAUUAAUGAUGCGUUUGGUGUGGUGCACUAUAUUUGAUAGAAUGUAUUCAAUAAUGCAAUACCAUAGUUGGUAGAGUAUGGAUUGUAUUAUGUAUUAAAUAACUCACCUCUAUAAUACUCACUUAACUUGACUGUCAAAGUGUCAUUAUCAUCCAUCACUGACGCCGCCUCUAACGAUUGUUUUCUCUUAUUUUUAGGACUGUCACAGUUUUGUUCAUCUACAAAAAUCCCACCAUCAACCAAACCACCUCUAAAAAACAAGCUCUUAUAAUUUUUUUGGGCUAAAUCAAAAUCAGAUCGAAAUAGAUGAUCAUAAUAAGUCUUUUCUGUAAAUAAAAAAUAUUUUUAUAGUUAUAUAUGUGUGUGUGUGUGUGUGUGUUUGUGUGUGGUGUGUGUUGUGCGCGUACGCAUGCGCGUGGUGUGUGUAUGCACGCACCCAGUUCUCUAGAUCGUUUGACUUGAGCUAAGCUAAGAAGAUAUUGAGAUCUUUUACCUCCAGGAACUAUUCCACACACUGAUUUCUUUAUCAAGAAUGAUUAACAAGUUUAUUAGGUAUCAAAACGAUCUAAAACAAGAAAUAAAAAUACCACUAAGAAAGAAAACACAGAGAUGAUUUAUAGAGGUUCAGCCAUUACAACCUACAUCCUCUUUGAGAAAUAGGGCUAUGAUUCUUUUAUGAAUGUAGAAAACAAGGCUCAAGCCUUUUCAGAGAUUACAAGGAUUAACAUGUAUCACGAAUUUCAGUCAUCAAGGCCCUUUUAUACAAGCUUAGAAGCUCCUAGAAACCUAUCUCAAAAGUUUGCAAAACGUUCUCGGUUUGUUGCAGCUAACCCCAGAAUUUUCCCGCUUCUUUUAACUGACUGUAAUUGAUCCCCCAUGUGCUUAACAUAAGUAUCCCAAAACAACAGUAGUGAGUUGCCGUUUCAGUUAGUGUGUUGUUAGGAGAUCACGUGUCACACACGUGCUUCACUUAAUGAAUUCUCUUUGACAUGGGAUGAUUGUAGUACAGUCAUGAUAAGCUUCUAUCUGACAUGUCAUCUUAUGCUAAGUCUUAUGGCUGACAUUGUCGUUUGCCUUGCAUACUGAAUUCUGGUUCACACUUAACAAUCUCCACCUUGAACCUGAAUUCAUGCAUAUCCAGAGCUCAUUCUUCUCAUCACUCUGCACUCCUAUAUUGUGUAGAUACCAGCUAAGUCUUACCUGGUCUUAAACUUAACUGUUGGAAUUGAUUUGGUCAGCAUGUCAGCCAUGUUUUCACUGGUAUGGAUUUUCACUAGCUGUAUAGUCCCCUUAGUAACUUCAAGUCUGAUGAAGUGAAGUUUGAUAUCUAUAUAUUUGGUCUUUUCAUGAUGAACAUGAUUUUUGCUUAGGCAAAUUGCACUUUCACUGUCAUAGAAAAUCUUUAUUGUUGAUUGUUCAUGCCCCAACUCAUUCAAUAUGUCUUUCAGCCACAUUGCUUCCUUGAAGGCUUCUGCUGCAGCUGUAUACUCAGCUUCUAUAGUUGAUAGGGCAACUACACUCUGAAAUGCAUAUUUCCAGUUUUUGGUGCAUUGGUUUACAGUGAAUAUGAAUCUAGUGAGAGACCUCUUGUUGUCAAGAUCUCCUACAUAAUCAGAGUCAAUAUAACCCACUACUAAGUUUUCAUCUUGCCUUUUACCCCCAUACAACAGACCAUAGCUUGAUGUUCAUUUCAUAUAUCUCAAUAUCCAUUCUACAGUCCUCUAGUGCUCUUUACUAGGGUUAGCCAUAAACAUGCUGACUACACUUACAAUAGAGGAAAUAUCUGGUCUGGUUAAUACCAUUGCAUACUUUAGACAUCUUAUUGCACUUGCAUAAGGUACUUUUGCCAUCUCAGGCUUAUCUUGUUCUGUUGUAGGGCAUAAUUGGCUUGAUAAUCUGAAAUGUGGUGCUAGUAGAGUCUGCACAUCUUUGUUGUUUGUCAUUAUGAAUUUUUCUAGAACUUUGGUAAUAUACUUCUCUCGAGAUAAGAAUAAAGUUCUAUUUUUCUUGUCCUUUUUCAAUUCCAUCCCCAAUAUCUUCCUUGCUGAACCAAGAUCUUUCGUAUCGAAUUCAUGCAUCAGCUGCUACUUCAACAACUCUAUUUGUUUCAUAUCUCUGCAUGCCAAUAACAUAUCGUCAACAUAUAGUAUCAGAUACAACAUGUCACCCUCAUUUACUCUUUUAAAGUAAACACAACAGUCAAAGUUGCAUCUUUGGAAAUUCAGCUUUUGCAUGUGGUUGUCAAACCUCAGAUACCAUUGUCUAGGUGACUGUUUGAGGCCAUAUAGAGACUUCCUCAGUAAAUAGACCCAAUUUAGUCUCUUUAAAUCAAUAAAGCCCUCAGGUUGGUCCAUCACAAUCUCUUCUUUAAGUUCACCAUGCAAGAAAGCUGUUUUGACAUCCAUCCAUUCAAGAUGCAUGUCAUAAACAAUCACAUGUGAGAGUAUUAAUCUGAUUAAAGUAUGUCUAACAACUAGGAAGAAAACUUCUAUAAAAUCAACCCUCUCUUUCUCUUUCUGUGUGAAUCCUUUUGCAACCAGCCUGGCUUUGAACCUUUUUGGCUCAACACCAGGUAUUCCUUCAUUUAGCUUAAAUAUCCAUUUACAGCUCACUGUCUUCUUACUUUCUGGUUUCUUUAUUAGUUCCCAAGUCUAGUUCUUUUGAAGAGAUUCCAUUUCCUCCUACUUGGCUUUAAGCCACUGAGAUGAGUGUUGGCUUGCAAUAGCUUCUAUAUAACUUUUUUGUUCUUCAUUCUCUAAUUCAUUUGCUUCUGUCAGGGCAUAUGCAAUUAGAUCAUCAUAUCCCAACCUCUCAGGUGCUUUCACUUUUCUCUUCUCCUUAUCUCUUGUGAGCUGAUAAUCUUAAAUAGAGCUUUGGCAUAUUGGUUGUUCAACAGCUUCCUCUAUUCUCUCUUUUUUAGGGUUAUUAAUAUCUCUGACAUCUGCAUAUUUGUUUCUAGUCAGCUCCACCUCAAACUGUAAUUCAUCAGGGCUCGACACUUUCUGUAUUCUUUUAUCAACAUGUAUAUGAGAUCUCAACAUUUCAGCUUCAUUAAAAACUCCAUCCCUGCUAAUUAUAUACUUUGGUGGUUGUAGAUCAACACACCAUAGCUUGUAACCUUUAACCCCUUCAGGAUAUCCUAGAAAGGCACACUUUAAGGCCCUGGGUUCAGUUUACCUUGUUUAGUAUGAGCAUAUGCAAUACAACAAAAAAUCAAGUUUGAAUAAUCACCUAAUUUCCCUAACCACAUCUUAUAAGGAGUUUUGAAAUCUAAAGUUGUAGGAGGGCUUUUAUUUAUAAGGUAACAGGCUGUAUUCAGUGCUUCAGCCCACAAGGUUUUUGGCAGCUUUGAAUGAAAUAACAUGCACCUAACCUUCUCUAUUAGGGUCCUAUUAAUUCUUUCAGCUAGCCCAUUUUGUUGGGGUGUAUGACUGACUGUUCUAUGCCUCAAAAUUCCACUCUUUGUGCAAAGCUCAUCAAACUAUUUAUUACAAAACUCCAAGCCAUUAUCAGUUCUAAGAGCUUUAACCUUCAUGUUUGUCUGUGUUUCAAUCAACAUUUUCCAAUUUUUAAAGCUCUCAUAAGCUUGAUCCUUACUUUUUAACGGGUAAACUCAGACCAUCCUAGAGUAAUCAUUAAUCAAGGACAAGAAGUAAUUAGCUCCACCUAGAGAGUCAAUUUGUGAUGGUCCCCACAUAUCUGCGUGAAUGUAAUCCAAAGUGCCUUUAAUUGAAUGUACUGCAGUUUUAAAUAUAGUUCUUGAGGACUUGCCUAGGAUACAUUCCUCACAAAACCCUAAAGCACUUAUCUUAUCCCCUUCUAGAGCUCCAUGCCUUUCUAGUUCUUUCAACCCCUUCUCAUUUAUAUGCCCCAACCUCAAAUGCCACAAAUAUGGUUUAGUAUUCAAAUAUAAAUGAUAGAAAAUAUACUCAAACUGUAAAUAAUAGAAUAUAUAGGACUUAUGUUUUAAAAUUUUAAAGCUUCUAUUUUUUUUUUCACUUUUCAGCAAAUAAGUGGGAGUGCAAAGUAAUUUACCAAAUAUUAGGGGUACCGUGCACGCAGGGCACCAUAGCUUAGUCCGUUACAUUUAUUGUAACUUACAAUCAAAAUUUUCAGUGUAAAAAUAAAUAACAAAGCAAUGGAAUGAUGUAGAUCAAUGGGUGAAUUUUACUAAGAGUGGAGCUAAUGCUAUUGGUACCCUCUUAUUAAACUUUUAAAACCCCUAUUUUCUAAAAUUACAUUUAAGGACAAAUGUAAACAUACUAUAUUCUCUUUCUAAAGUACAAACACGCCCAUACCUCGCAUAAGUACAAUUUUUCACUGUUUACAAUUUCUUGGCAUUAAUCAUUAAUUCCAUUCCAAAUAUCAAUGAAUUGUUCGAAUCUCAGGCAUCCAAAAAACCAAAACAAAGUGUUAUAGACCCAACAAUCUUUUGUUUGAAAAAUCUCAUAACUAUCCAAUGGCUUAACAUAAAUUAAGGAGUGGACUAAAAGGAUUUAUAAAACGGCAAAAUUGCAAGAGAAAAAGAAUUCAAGAGAUGGACUGGAAAUUGCAUGAAUGACGAGACCAAAAGCAUGAUAUGAGAUAGGUGGCAGAAAUAUUUCCGAUAUUUAUUGUGGGUUAUUGCAGAGAAAAUCACAUGUAGAGGAAGGGUAGUUUUGGAAUUAAAGUGGGUGCCAAUAAUAACGAUAAAUUUUCUAUUAUUGUUCAAUGCGGUGUAUUUAUAAUAGGGGUUUUAAAAGGAUAUUUGAGGAGUGCCAAUAGCCCUACUCUUUUACUAAUUGUAGAUUAAAGAGACUUCAAAAAAUAAUGUCUACUUAAUUAGAAAAAGUCUGGACAAUUUUACCAAGACAUGCUAACUAUAAAUAAAACCUUGAGCUAAUGGUGGAUUUUAUUAUCUCAUUAAAGUUAAAAUCUCGAGUUUAUUUAUUUUUAAAUAAAUUUGUAUAAAGAAAUAAAUAUUUAUAAAUAUAUCCUAAAUAUUAGUGGAAAAAAUAAAUUAAUAAGUAGUGAAGAAAGUGGACAGCUGGUCCGUUGAGCGGAAUGUUUCAAAAAAUCCAUAUUAAAUUUUUACUCAAGUUUUUUAUUUGCCUCCAAUAAAAUUUAUAAUUUUUUGUUCCUGUUGGCUUUAAAAAUUAACAAAAUAAUAGACACAAAAUUACAUUUUAAUCAUUAAAACCAGCACAUUAAACCUAAAAUUGAGUAUAAACACCUCGAAAAUUUUCUAAAUAAAAUCUGCCCCGACCUCUGGCUCUUCCAGUCCGGACUAUUCAUCAGUGAAAUUAAAAUAAUUAACGUGCAGAGAAAGGGGUUGAAAGUAGUAGAAGAUUCUAGAAUUCCCCUUAGUCAUGUGACCUCACAAUAAAUACUUCGAUAAUUUUAGCGGCUUUUUUUUAGUAGUUAUUAAUUUUUUAAUUAUUGGUAACCCCAUGUACACGUUUCUCAUUAUUUUUAUAAUUAACGAUUAUUCUAUGCAGUUUGAUAGUUUUAACCCUUAUUCUGUUGUCAUUUUACAAUUUUUUUAAAAAUAAAUAUUAGGAAAAAUAUAAAGAAACUAAAUGCUGACAAAACUUGAUAAAAUAAACUAUAACAAUUUAUGAUUUUAGACUGUGAAUUGUUAUAAUUUAUUUUUUAGUCUUUUGUCAAAUCUUUUCAAUUUAAAUUACAGUGUUUAAAUAUCAGUACUAAAAGGAGGAGGAGGAGGAUGCUAGGGUCUCAACUCUCAAACUAUGAGAGUAAGAAGCUGAUAGCCUAUUAAUGUACCUUUGGUUCAGUCGGAGAACCUUUACAUUUACAAUGUUGAGUGUAAUGGUUCAAAUCUUCAUAAAAGUAUUUAUGGAAGUUAUUUACAAUCUUCCCUCAAUUAUCAAAUAAUUGAGUAGAGCUAGUUUAUCCCUCACAAAAUGUGAGUGGAGUGGACAACCCUUGAAUAUUUGAGAGGGCUUAAAGAAUUUAGACAACAGAAUCUGUUUAUAAAUAUUAAUUGUAAUACCUGAUGUAAUAACAGUGAAUCUGUUUAUAAAUAUUAAUUAUAAUACCUAAUGUAAUAUCAGUAAAGUCUUGUAUAACAGUAUUAAAAAAAAGAAGAAGCUAAUAGCCUAUUACUUUUUACAAUUUUCCAUAUUAUUUUUGUCACUGUUCGUUGUGUGCCCUUCAAGAAACUGAUUCCUUAGUCUAGUCAUUUAGAGUUAACAGUAGCACAACGCGUCAUGGGAACGCAGAGUUAACGCCUUCGCUUUUUGAUUGUAUAAAAUAAGUAACAUAAUCACCUACUCGAUCACCGAGUGACAUGAUCACACACUCACACUCACACUCACUCUUUGGGUCUCCACUGUAACUGUUCUGAAUUAGUACCAGUCUUGGGGGGUUUCAUCAGAUCACUACCAGCAAUUGAAGAAGUGGUUAUUGUAAAAAAAAAAAAAAUCUGAAAUGGAGAGUGGGUAUAAAUUCCAGCCAUCUGAUGAACUAAUCCUCCGUCUUCUCAAGGAGAAGAGGCUUAACCCCCAUUUCUCACAUCAUCCUAUCAAGGAUAUUGAUCAUAUCUGCAGCCUUGAGCCAUGGGACUUACCAAGUAUGUAUAUGUAAUUUUUUUCUUUUCUUUUUCUUUCUAAGCUGUUGCACUGAAGAAUUUUUCCAAUUGAACUAACCGGUACGCGACAUAUACUUUUAUGAUGCAGCGGAAUCAAAAACUGAGUCUGAGGAUCAAGUUUUUUACUUUUUCUAUGAACCUCGUUACAAGUACAGGAACAGUAACCGGGUCGACAGAAGAACAGAAGCAGGGCAAUGGAAAAUUACCAGUAAAGAUUCCCAAAUCGAAGCUGGAAACGGCCUUACCGGUACCAAAAAGUUCUUGACUUUCUACUGCCGUGGUCCUGAUUCUAAGGUACCAGUUAAGACCGACUGGGUUGUGCAUGAGUACCAUGCCAAGGACGACCCCCGUUAUGAGGUGUGAGCUUCAUUUGUUUUUGUCACUCACUUGAGAGUUCAUUUAUUUUAUGCAUUGUUAUAGCUUUGGAUAUAUAAUAAUAAGGCUGGCUCUUCUUGAUGAUUGAAGUGAUUAAUUGGUGAAGCAUGCUGGAUUGUUGUGUCUAUUGGAGAUCUAUAAUAGGAUUAGUUAACCUGGCGUCUAAAGUAUAUAUCUCUGUUGCCUGUUACUUAAAACAUUAAUGGGCGGGAUCUUCGCAUCAAGAUGAAAGAAAUUGUGACGUUAUUUAAAAUGCAACUACAAAUAAGUGUCCGAAACCAUUUACAUUGCUGUUUGAUGAGUAGCAAUUCUGGCAGUGCUAACGAAUAUCUGAAAAUUAAUUGAUAGUGCAUUAUUCCUUAUUUAGAUUCUGCCUUUAAUUUAUGCAGAAGGAAUUUGUUCUGUGUUGCAUAACAAAUGGAGAAGCUUCAGCUUAUGUAGAUGAUGGCAGUGAGACAAACACUGCUGACAACGAUGCAUGGGUGGAAGAACGUUCUGUAAUCUUAAGUAGCUUGUAAACAAUUAUAAAAUCCUCUUAGGAGGAAAGUACUGUAAUUUUAAGGAGGCAUGCAAACAAUUAUGAAAUCCUCUUAGGAGGAAAGUACCGUAAUCUUAAGCAGCAUUGUAAAGAACUAUGAAAUCCUCUUAGGAGGAAAGUACUAUUAUUAUUGAUAAUGUGAUGUUAUCUGGUAAUCUUUGAGACUCGUUACAUACUAAUGUAAUUGUUGUUUAGACUAAUUGUAUACUCCAUUUGGUCUUGUAUCUAGCAUCUGUGUGUAACAUAAGGUCAAGUUUUUCUGUCCUUUAGUUCUAACUGGUUUCGUAUUUGAUCAUAUGUGGGACACUGGAAUCUCACUAUACAAUCCGAGCAAAUUACUUCAUGGAGAAGGGGACACGUUUGUGAGGGAGCAGGGAAGGUCAAUUGUAACUGUAAAAUGAAAGAAGGAAUCGGAAAUGGUUGUCAAUCGUGGGGUCUUAAACUGCUUGGGCAACUCGUCCCUACUUCCAUUUAUUAUUAUUUUUUUGAAAAAUUAUAUUUAUCCAAUAAUUAUUGUCAACAAAUAACUAGGAAAGUUAAAGAAAUUUGAUGAGGAAUGCUGUAUAUCAAUCAAUUUUCAAAUUUUUAGUUUGUAUUAGGAGUUUUUCUUUCCAAAUAAAAUUUAUUUUUCUAUCUUGAGGUUAAUGAAUUUAGAGGAAUAUAUACUUAUACACAAUAUAAAUUUAAUAUUGUGAGAUGUACAAAGUUCUGAUUAAUUUUUCAAGUCUUUGUCUCUUUAUUAUAAUUUGAACUCGAGUUGUCGGCUAAAUAGAAUUGGUUGAAAAUCACCUAAUUUGGGACUCUUUUUUCAACAAAUUGCUGCUAAAAAAAAAUAAUAAUUGGCUUAUGACGAGUUACAUGUUUUCUGGCAGACUAAGGCGCAUGCCAAUUGGGUAUGGGAUGUUACAGGUGGUAACAGUGUUCAAUGCACCAAAUUACUGCUAGCAGUGUGGAAAUAUGGCUGCAAUUCUUGAAAUUGGGAGUAUAUGGAGCAGAAUUUUCUUCAAUUUGACUCACUAUAGCUCCUCACCACACGCAUAUAUUUCACUGUUGUGUCCUCGUAGACGUCUCAUUCAAUAAUGCAGACAUUGUUUUUAGUCAAGGGAUAGACAAGAAGAAACCAUUGUUCUCGUCAUUAAUUCUUUUGAGGAGUUUAUAUGAUGUUGGGUAAGGGUUCAUUUGAGCUUAUAGGUCUGAUCUGUAGAAGCUUCUUCAUUUGUAUACUAAAUGGUACACACACACACAAAUUUAUUGUACAAUUAAGAAAUUUGUCAAGAUCUAUCUUUCAUGGUUAGGCGUAGUGUUUCUAAAAUUCAGGUCAUAGGUUCUACUAAUAUUUAAAAAGAUAAAAUUCGGAAAUCAAACUCUAAAGGAUUAAUGACUUGAAAUUUUUUAAUUGAAAUCAAAAUAAAAAAUAGAUUUCACAAGUACUACAAUGAUUUUUUACUAUUAUUUUAGCUUGUCUCUGAUUUCAAUAUGGUCAAGAUAAAUAAAUAAAUGACCAAUCAAAACUAUUAUUUUGUCAAAAGUAAAUACCAACUUCUUUAUUUACUUUUAAAAAAACACCCAAGACAUAAAAACAUAAAUUUAAUACACUACAACACUGCAUUAAUGAUGCAUUUGGUGUGCCACGUUAUAUUGGAUUGUAACGGAUUGUAAUAGAUUAUAUUGUAUUGGAAUGUAUUAAAUAAUUCAGUACCAUGUUUUGUAGAGUAUUAACUGUAUUAUGUAUUUUUUUAUAUUUAAUAAUUUUAAAUAAUAAUAAAUAGUUAUUAUUUAUUCAUAUUGAAUAAAUAUUAUAUGAAUUUAAUAAACAUUUUAAUAUUUAAAUUAAUUUAUUUUUUAGAUUUGUUAAUAAAAAUAUAAUUAUCUGUAGUGGACUUUAGUGGACUUUAAUAUCUUUUCUUAUUUAUUAGUUAAACAUAAAUUAAUAGAUUAAAGCAAUAUAAUAUUUGAUUGGUAUUGAAUAUAAUAGUUAAUAUUAAAUAAUAGUUAAAAAUAAAAAAGCCCCCGCGGAAUUUAGACGUGCAAUUUGCGCAUCGACUAUCGUACAAUCUUAAAAAAUUAAGGUAAUUUUCAGGGACCUCCCCUGAGGUUUGGUGUAUUUACACAUAUAUAGAAUGUAUGGAUGUAAUUACAGACACCACCCCUGCCGUUAAUUAUAAGUUAGAUUGACCGUUAGGAGACUCUUAAAAUUACUAUAAUAUCCUUCCCACCAAACUAAUAAAUUGAUAAAUAAAGCUUUGACAACUGACGGGUAAUAAGUUUGGCUGAAAUCACACGACAUCAGAAAAAGACCAAAAUACCAAUCAAUGUAAAGUAGUUGACAUUGCUUAUUAUGUUUCAAUAAUAUCAUCCAUUCAAAUCAUCAAUAGAAGCAUGCAACAUAAUCAAGAUCAAACAGUGUCUCAACCAUAUGGAUUUUCUAAGCUCAAACACAUCCAGUUAAUCAAACAUACAACAAAUGAGCCAUGGCAAAAUGACAUAAACUCUCACUUCCUUAGCAUGUCUUAUAGGCUUGUCAAAGCAAACAUUCUUGACAUUGACAUCCUGCCACAUCUUCUUUAAGCUGGUGUAUUACUCUGGAAUUAUUGUUGCUACAUCAAUCUCAUCUCCAGCUACCACAGCCCGAUCUCCAUGUAAACAUGGCUGCAAGUUAUAAACAAUAGCAUAUCGUAAGUAACAAAAAACCAUUAAUAAAUUAAAAUAUGCUACAUGAAAGUUUAAAGAAAAUUAUACCAUCAAUAAUAAUCAUUUCAAGAUGAGAACAUCAAACAAGAUUACGAUAUGGACUAAGCUGGUUUGAGUUUAAGUUUUAGAGGCCAAAACACUUCAAACUCUGUGUGUAGUCGACAAAUUUGGAAUUGAUAUGUACAACUCUUUCUAUGUGUAAAAGCAAAUAAUUGUCUUAAUAUAUGAGAAUGAAAAUACUAUUGGUGACGAAAGCUUCCUAACAUUACAUGCUCUUAUGAGCUCAAAAUUUUUAACGAUACAUGCCACAAAGGAAGAGAAUUGAUAUUACCAGCCUUUUCAAAGCCAUGGCACCAUGCUACCUAAGUAUUGAAAAUUACAAGCUGGCACAACCAUUGAAACUCCCAAACCCAAUUUAAAGUUCAAGGAUUAGAAAAAAAAAAUCAGCAUCACUAAUUCUAAUUCUAUGAGGUCUAAGAUCCAUCAGCUAUGUUACUAUCCGGAUGAACAAAAACAUUUGAAAGAGAUGGAGAUGUCUCAUCAUGGAAGAAAAAGAAUUAAUGGAAUUAAAAGAAGAAAAUAAAAAGGAAGAGAUGGAAAUGCAGAUCUAGGUGAGCAAUGGAUAUCGUUUGGCUAGUUUUUCUCUUCUCCAACACCAACUUGUUUAACCAGACAAAAUUAAUAGAACAACAAAUUAAAGCUGUGUUUUAAAAGAUAUAUUCUAAAAGCAAAUUUGAUAUACUUCCAACUCCAAAUAGAUCAAGAUAAGUUGAAAGUAUCACAGUGAUUAUAAUCUUCUUUUUUUUUUGAAUGAGAUCAUCAUAUUGUAAUAAUACUUUCUGCUUGCAUUUCCAUAAAUUAGUUCCUCUUUUGCAACCUAUGUUCUACCAACAUGACAACUUAUAAUAAUAAAAUGAUUAAGCAUUAAAUCGGCAUAAUAAAGAUUUGAAGAACCUUGUUAUGGCUAUGAAAUAGCUUUUCCAUCAAUGGAAAACAAAAUAAAUUUAAAUUGGAAAGCUGCGUAAGAUUGAUUUGGCUAAGGAACUGUAGAAUUAAAUGAUUUGUUUCUUGAGUGUUUCUUUUUUCUUUUCUUUCCUUUGAUAUUAAUAUUUUAUUUUACAUAUAAAAUACACGAAAGAAUUACAAGAUGUCUCUGUUAAUGUUUUGUUUGUUGCAUAGAGUGAUUCCCAAAGCUCUCAUGCCUCAUAAGGUACUGUUGUUAUAUCUAUCUAUCUCCUCUACUGCAUGUGUGUGUGUAAUUGUGUAUAUGCUUUCUUUUAUUCCAUUAGUAGAAUAUUACCAAGUAUCAAAGCAAUUAGUUAACAAAACCCUUACUUAAUUUGCAGAUAUUAGGAGAAAGCCAAUCAUAGAUAAUAUGCUACAUAAAAGGUUUGCAUAUGAGAGAAUUUCAACCCUGUAUGUUUUCUUUUGGAAAAAUUUAACAGUUUUUCAAUAAAUUAUUGCAAUGACUCUUAUAUGGAUGCUUUCAUAGAAAGUACUUUCAUCCAAAACAGCUUCUGUAAAAUCGCCAUCUAGAUUUAAACAUAUAAUUCAGCAUAGAUUUUUGCCAAAAAAACACAAACACAUAAUAACUGCUCUUCAAUUCUAAAGACGAAAAACACAGUGAAUAUUUAAAAUUAAAAAAAUAAAAGAAAAAUAAAAAAGAUGAACAACAAUCAGAACAACAACUUACUAUAAUUGACUAACAGAAAAAGAAAUCAGAUACCACACUUGUCGAGAUCUACAUGCAUAAAAAAAAAAUCAAAAUUCGAAAGCCCAUUUUCAUUUGUAAGUAAUUCAGAAUCAACCCAUUCUUAAAAAAAAAUAAUCAACAAAAUAAUCAACUGCAUCUUAUUUGCAUCUUCGAACUGUCACAAAAUGAGGACUAACCUCUUUCUCGCCCUAAUUCCAGUCGUGGCUGAAGCCAUUCACCGUUGGUACUCACUUCGUGGAAGACUUGGGCCACCACUCGAACUCAUCUCGUUCAUAACAGAAGCUGAACUCUCCUUCAAUUUGAUAAAGUUUUGGGCAAAAGGAGCUGCUUCUUGAUAGCUUUAGAAAGCAGAAAUUGAUGUUGGAUUUUGCUUAUGUGAAAGAUAAAGGGAAGAUUUUUGCUUUCUUUUGUCCAUCAAGUAUCGCAAAGCACUGGACAAGAGAUUGUAACAGUCAAUACUUCCCAGACAUCAACAAAUUUUUAGCUUAAAUUUUGAAUUAUUUUAUAAUUUAAAUAUGAUUUUACAUAUUUACCCUUCUAUGCUGACAUUAUACGUAUUUUCAUAUUAACGGCAGGUGUCUGUAAUUAAAUUAAUACAUUUUAUCCAUAACAACAACUUACUAUAAUUGACUAACAGAAAAAGAAAUCAGAGACCACACUUGUCGAGAUCUACAUGCAUAAAAAAAAAAUCAAAAUUCGAAAGCCCAUUUUCAUUUGUAAGUAAUUCAGAAUCAACCCAUUCUUAAAAAAAAAUAAUCAACAAAAUAAUCAACUGCAUCUUAUUUGCAUCUUCGAACUGUCACAAAUGAGGACUAACCUCUUUCUCGCUCCAAUUCCAGUCGCGGCUGAAUCCAUUCACCGCCAGUACUCACUUCGUGGAAGUCUUGGGCCACCACUCGAACUCAUCUCGUUCAUAACAGAAGCUAAACUCUUCUUCAAUCUUGAUAAAGCUUUGGGCAAAAGGAGCUGCUUCUAGACAGCUUUAGAAAGCAGAAAUUGAUGUUGGAUUUUGCUUAUGUGAAAGAUAAAGGGAAGAUUUUUGCUUUCUUUUGUCCAUCAAGUAUCGCAAAGCACUGGACAAGAGAUUGUAACAGUCAAUACUUCCCAGACAUCAACAAAUUUUUAGCUUAAAUUUUGAAUUAUUUUAUAAUUUAAAUAUGAUUUUACAUAUUUACCCUUCUAUGCUGACAUUAUACGUAUUUUCAUAUUAACGGCAGGUGUCUGUAAUUAAAUUAAUACAUUUUAUCCAUGUGUAAAUAUACCAAACCUGAGGGAAGGUCCCUAAAAAUUACCCUAAAUUUGAUAACUGGGACUAACUAGGAUUUUCAAAACUAAAAAAAAAGAAGAAAAAUAUGAGAAAAGAGGCACGUGAACAACAAGCCUUGAUGUCUUCAAAGGUCUGUUCAAUAGUGUCCAUGUAUACUAAAGGGAUUAGAGAACUACUUGUGAGAGCAGAAGUAGCAGUCUGAGUGUUAAUAGGGGACGACCGUGUGUAUCAACUGACAUCCCACUUUUGUACCAUUUCCCGUAACCCACCACCAAAAGAUAAAGGCAAUAACUAUUCACAUCACAAGUAAAUGGGCAGUGGGUUUAGAACCCAGUAGAUACCCACUAGAAACUUAAUUGCACUUUGGUCCAAAGAAGUGCAAGAGGGAUAAAAUUGGAAGCCAGCCCCCAAUGAAAAGUGAAAUCAGGCACUGUCAGGUGUCAUCUGCUAUAUUCCUUAAGAGUUUCUUAUGCCCCACUAAGUUUGCCAUAAAACAACUAGGGGAUUUUAUUUAAAUUAGUAGUGAAAAGACAAUUGCAUGUGUCAUUGGAGGCUGAAAAUAAAAAAAUAACGAUAAUAAUAAUAUAAUUCUAAGAGAGGGUACAUAAGGGGCAAUGUCAUCCUAAUAAGGGUAAAGUGGAAAGGAAAUUAUUCCAUCAAUGAACAUGUGAGAACUCCUAUCACCGAAAAGGAAUGUUGUUUCCUUAACCAAUGAGAAAAAACCAAUGGGAAAGUAGCUUGCUAAAAGGAGCAAACAAAGACUUGCCACAUUAGUAGCAGCAGAACGGCUCUUUCAGAGGUAGUUGGAUCACCUUACUAUGCCCUGACAUGUAUCUAUAGACAAAACAUAUGAAUAAACGAUCGAACGUACUAUUCAAGUAAGUCUAACGAGUUGCUGACACCUUAAGGAGAAAGCACAAAAAUACUCCUACCUAAGGGAAAAUACCAAUAGAAUAACACCAAGCGACAGGGUGAUGGGAAUUCCCCGGCGAGCUCCCUGUAUAACGCUUAGGUUUUCUCCCUCAACAUAAGAAACACACACAAAAAAGGGUCAAGGCUCAUCUAUAACCUGGAGGUCACUCUAUUUUUGAGUGUUGGCAAAUCCUUGUCACUUAAAUAAACUUAAGACUAUCUUCAAACCAUGAACUUACAAUGGGCACCAAACCCUGAACUUACAAUUUUAUUAUGUUUAACCAAAUGUUAACAAAAUCCUAAAAUCUAGUUAACACACUUGCCAUAAAGACUUUAUUACUGUAUAAAUUCACUACAAAAACUAAUUCACUACUAAAACAAAGAUGACNNNNNNNNNNNNNNNNNNNNNNNNNNNNNNNNNNNNNNNNNNNNNNNNNNNNNNNNNNNNNNNNNNNNNNNNNNNNNNNNNNNNNNNNNNNNNNNNNNNNNNNNNNNNNNNNNNNNNNNNNNNNNNNNNNNNNNNNNNNNNNNNNNNNNNNNNNNNNNNNNNNNNNNNNNNNNNNNNNNNNNNNNNNNNNNNNNNNNNNNNNNNNNNNNNNNNNNNNNNNNNNNNNNNNNNNNNNNNNNNNNNNNNNNNNNNNNNNNNNNNNNNNNNNNNNNNNNNNNNNNNNNNNNNNNNNNNNNNNNNNNNNNNNNNNNNNNNNNNNNNNNNNNNNNNNNNNNNNNNNNNNNNNNNNNNNNNNNNNNNNNNNNNNNNNNNNNNNNNNNNNNNNNNNNNNNNNNNNNNNNNNNNNNNNNNNNNNNNNNNNNNNNNNNNNNNNNNNNNNNNNNNNNNNNNNNNNNNNNNNNNNNNNNNNNNNNNNNNNNNNNNNNNNNNNNNNNNNNNNNNNNNNNNNNNNNNNNNNNNNNNNNNNNNNNNNNNNNNNNNNNNNNNNNNNNNNNNNNNNNNNNNNNNNNNNNNNNNNNNNNNNNNNNNNNNNNNNNNNNNNNNNNNNNNNNNNNNNNNNNNNNNNNNNNNNNNNNUGGUAACUAAAUUUUUGAAUAAAUAUUUCCCAGUGCAUAAAACCAAUGCUAUUCGCAGGGAAAUUUCAGAGUUUACACAGAGAGAAGACGGGCAAUUUUUCGAAACAUGGGAGCGAUUCAAUGCAUAGCAUCGUUAUCGACUGCUAAAUCAACAGAGCCACAUGACCAUGACUCAUACUCAGAUCAAGCCAAUGCCAUAGGUGUAAUGAGAAAACCAUCGAAUUACAACCCAUACUCCAACACAUAUAACCCUGGAUGGAGAGACCACCCCAAUUUUUCAUGGUCUCAAGGACUCCAACAGAAUGGACCAGCAGCUCCAGCUCCACCAAUGCAACCAAUUCCUCAACCUUCUCAGCCCCCAUUCAGACCAUACAAUCAGAACCAGAACUACUCUCAACCCAGACCAUGGGAAGAUGCAUUCCAGAAUUUCAGGAAUGUUACUCACUCCACGAUUGAGCAACAGAACCGCACCAUUGAUGGACUAUGAAAUGAAUUGAGAGCGGGCUUCAACUCACAAGCCUAAUCAGUUUUAAGCCUCGAGAAGAUGGUGGGACAACUUGCUUCUUCAGUUCAGACCUUGGCAAUGAUUGUUGAGAAAGGCAAGUUUCCAAGUCAACCAGUGCCUAAUCCUAAAGGAGUGCAUGAAGCAAGUACCAGUUCACCACAGCAGCAUGGAGAGGUCAAAGCAGUAAUGACCUUGCGAAAAGGAAAAGAAGUCGACAACAAAGUGGAGAUGCCGGUGACAAAAGAAAAUCAAAUUGUACCUGUAAAUGCUGAGGACUCACCACCGGAGGAGAAAGAAGAAACCAACCCACGAGAAUACGUUCCCAAAGCUCCAUUUCCUCAGAGGUUAGCGAAAGGAAAGAAGGGAAAAUCCACAGGUGAGAUUCUCGAAAUCUUCAAACAGGUAAGUGUUAACAUCCCUUUACUUGAUGCUAUAAAACAAGUUCCAUCUUAUGCCAAGUUUCUUAAAGACCUUUGUACUAAAAAGAGAAAUAUGCAUGUUCAAAAGAAGCUGCUGUACGGCCAAGGCGGAUGUACGGUACAGCAGAUUUAUUUUCUCUUCCCCUCUAGUUUUUGUGGAUGUUUUGACUUAUCGUCGACAAAUAAUACUGAUCUUGUCUAGAUACCGCCUUGGUUACACCGGCUCUCUAGUAUAAGGUUAUUAUUAUUUGGCACGAUAAGCCCUUAGCACCAUAUUGAUUAGAGCGUGGUUCAUGAGGUGUGGAUUCCCCCCUCAUGAUUUAAUUGGCAUUAAUACGGAUUAUUUAGCCCAUGAUGCAUGUUGAUACGGAUCCAGAUACCCAAGUACGUCAUCUCAAUAGAUUUCUCUUCAAUUUAUUCUCGCCAUUUCAAUUCCAAUUUCAGAAUUUAUUCUCACCAUUUUAAUUUAAGUUUUAGCAUAUUCCAAACCAUUUCCACCAUAAAUCCAACCACCCAUUUACAAAAUUAAUUCUAUAUAUAAUUAAAAAUCCACCUCCUCGUGGGAUCGACACUCGUCACCAUAAAUCUAUACUACAAUAGAUUCGUGCGCUUGCGAGUACAUUAAAAUUUGCACAACAAGUUUUUGGCGCCGUUGCCGGGGAGGUAAGUAAUUUUAAUUCAUAGAAUUAAUUUUUGUGAAUAACUUCUUUUAUUUGUUUUCUUGUAUUUUUUUUAAUUAAAAAAAAAAGAAAAAAAGUGAAUCUACAUAUAAAGGUUAGUAUUUCUUUUCUUUUUCUCUUCUUUAAAAUUUUGUAAUUUAAUUUUCCAUUUAUUUUUCUUUGUAAUUUUUUUUGUUUAUCUUAUUAAUUUAAUUUUUAGUUAAUUUCUUUCACGUAUUUAUUUUUGUGUAUUUUUAUAGAAAGGUUGUAAUAGCGCAAUAAGGUUAGUAUCGUAAUUUCUCACUCUUCUUUAUUUUUAUUUGUUUUGUUCCCAUCUUUAUUUUUGUUUUGUUUGCAUCUUUAUUUUUAUUUUAUUUAUUUUGCAUGCAUGGUAAGGAAGCACAUCCCCAUUAUCCUAGGUCGACCUUUCUUGGCAACUGCGGAUGCUCACAUUCAAUGUAGGACUGGAAAUAUGCAGUUGUCCUUCGGCAACAUGACUAUGGAGCUGAACAUCUUCAACAUUGCCAAACAACCUCACAGUGCAGAUGAUGGAAUUGUUGAUGUGGAUUUAAUUGAAGCAUUAGUUGAUGAUACUUUUGUUUCAAACCUUAGUGAUGAUCCUUUACAAACAUAUUUAACUUACUGUGGUUUGGAUUUUGAUAUUGACAGAUCGGUUGAUGAGGUCAACGCCCUGCUUGACUCAGCACCAUCUAUGGACACUAAUAAAUGGAAGUCAAGAGUUGAGCAACUAGCACCAUCAGAAAAGAAACUCAUCCCAUCAGCAGAAUCACCACCGAAACUCGAGCUCAAACCAUUGCCCAACACAUUGGAAUAUGCAUUUUUGGGAGAAGAAAGUACUCUGCCGGUAAUCAUCUCAUCAUCCCUAAAUGACGAACAAAAAGGUAAGUUGUUGGAUGUUUUAAAAGAGCACAAAGAAGCAUUAGGAUGGACCAUAGCAGAUAUUAAAGGUAUAAACCCAGUAGAUUGCAUGCAUUACAUUCACCUUGAUGAAAAUGAUAAAUCUACUUUUCCUGCUGUACGGCCAAGGCGGAUGUACGGUACAGCAGUUUACUAUUUAUUGAUCAAAUGCUUGAUAGAUUAGCAGGCCAUGAAUUUUAUUGCUUUCUAGAUGGUUAUUCAGGAUAUAAUCAGAUUCCCAUAGCACCAAAAGAUCAAGAGAAAACUACUUUCACUUGCUCUUUUGGCACUUUUGCAUAUAGGAGAAUGCCAUUUGGAUUAUGUAAUGCACCUGCUACAUUUCAACGAUGCAUGUUGAGCAUUUUUUCUGAUAUGGUUGAACGAUUCCUUGAAGUCUUUAUGGAUGAUUUUUCUGUCUUUGGUGAUUUGUUUGAUCAAUGUUUACAUCAUCUAACACUAGUUCUGCAGAGAUGUAUUGAGAAGAACUUGAUCUUAAAUUGGGAGAAGUGUCAUUUUAUGGUAAAACAGGGUAUUGUUCUUGGUCACAUCAUUUCGAGCAAAGGUAUUGAGGUUGACAAAGCCAAGGUGGAUCUCAUUUCUAAUCUUUCUUUUGUCCAUCAAGUAUCGCAAAGCACUGGACAAGAGAUUGUAACAGUCAAUAUUUCCCAGACAUCAACAAAUUUUCAGCUUAAAUUUUGAAUUAUUUUAAAAUUUAAAUAUGAUUUUACGUAUUUACCCUUCUAUGCUGCAUUAUACGUAUUUUUAUACUAACGGCAAGGGUGGUGUCUGUAAUUACAUCAAUACAUUCUAUCUAUGUGUAAAUACGCCAAACCUCAGGGGAGGUCCCUAAAAAUUACCCUAAAAAAUUAUACAGACUAGUGCAAUUACUUUUUGUAGCAAAACGCUGGUUUGAGUUUAUGUUACAGUGCAAACCGUUAUAAACCCACACCCCAAACAGACCUUGGAGUGUGUUCUUUUUUAUCUUGUAGCUUAUCUAUAAUUUUAAUAUGGUAAGUUAUCCAUGUUUGAAAAGUUGUUAUUAUUAUUAUUAUUAUUAUACACACACACACACAUAUAUAUAUAGUGUUAUUUUUGUUUCAUUAAGUCAUUCUUAAAUUUCACAUUUAUAUAAAAAAUCAUAUGUUAUUUAAUUGUUCUUGACGUUUAAAAUGGUUUAUGUUUAUUUAAUUGAAAUCUUAUUUUGCACUGAAUGAAUUAUACAAUAAUUUAACUGUAAAACUAACAAAAAGUGUUUUGAGUUAUUAUUUGAAAAGUAAGGAUGAAAUAUAUUAUUACUUAAAAAGUAAAGAUAAAAUAGAUUUAUGAAUAAAUAUAAAUAAAAGCCCACUAAGAAAAUAAUUUAUAACUUUUUAAAAAAAGUACGUGAAGAUUGAGGUUAGUUCAAAAUAAUAAAUAAAUUUAUGAAUAAAUUAUUAACUACGAAUAUAUCCCAACUCCAGAGAAAAAAGUGGUAAAAGUACUAAUUGGAGCACCACGUGGAAACAAACUUUUCUCGAGAUUAUGCUCAUAAAUAGAGGCAAUAUGUCACAAAUUUAAACAUUCAGAACAUCCCAUAAGCUCUGUUCAAAAACACUACCGUCAUAAUCUUUCUCUAAUUCUCUUUAUUCUAUCUUCCUCACUUCAUAAUUUUCCUACACGCCCUUGCUUGAGCGUCACGGUAUCCUUGCAGGCACACACCCACGCCUUGCCGCCGAAGUGUCAAAGGAGAGAAGAGUGAACCAAAUUCGAGGAAGUAAAAACCUUUUCCUUCAACCUCCAAGAAGGGCUCAGACUUACAAGCCCAAUGGCAUCCAAUAAAUAGAGCCCAUAAGGUGAAGAUACCAGAAGCAGCUUAGAAAUUUAACAGCACAAACACUCGCGACGAAAAAGGAUAAAAAAAUGAUGUGGAUUUUUGACUACUUGAACGAGAAGGAGACAGCGGAAGAAAACAAAAGAAGCAGAAUAUUGUAUAGUAUUAGGCUCGCUGAGGGCCUACGGCAAACAACUACUUCUCAAGGAAGGGGACACGUCAACUUCACUUCACUCCUUCUCAAAGAAGGAGAUACUCUCUGGUGGAAAGCUGGCCGUACGAUGUUGAAGGAAACGGAUCUCUCCUUGACGCUGUCAAAGGAAAAUUCAAAAUUCUCACGCGGGUUAAUCAUCCCAACUCAGCCCAGAUACCGACCAUCACCAAGCUUGCGUGUAUAAAAGUAGAUGAUCACGCCAUUUCUCUGUAAAUCGCAAGGCGAAUCUUUUCUUAUGAAAACAGAAUCGGAGAGAGUGCUACCUAAGGCUCUAGCAAUUCAAUUCAGAGAAGGGAUAUCUUGUAAGAUGAAGAAAUUACCAUCAAUCUUCUGAACAAGAUGAGUUUUGACCCUGAUUUCUCUGUCCAAACAGUCAACGAAGUUGCUAUAUACAACUUCGAGCCUCUUCAAUGCUAGGUAAGUGUCAUCAGAUACCCAUCAAUGUUGAUAUAAUUGCUUUGGUUUCUAGCAGAAGGUAUCAGAAACACAUUUUGAUUAAAAGGGUUCCUUUUCCUCUGUGGUUCUAACUUCAGGUACAAGCUUAGCAUCUAGCAAUUUAUCAUAUUACAUGCAAUUUCAGAAAUCAUGUUGCAGAAAAUGGCUUCUGAAAGGUGAGAGAAAGAGCUUGCCUUAUGGGCUGUUUCAAUAUCAAGUUAUCCACGUUGAGUAUGACACUUAAGUAUUAAAAGUAAGUACUCUGGCAUUUUAUUUCAGGUCGGACCUCAGCAACUACCAAAUCACAAAAUGUGCCUUUGUGAUUUGAUAGAAAUCAUGUUGCAGAAAAUACUGUUCAAGGGGCUGAGAAAGAGUCGAAGAAUAACUUAUACGCCGUUAUCAAUUCAUAAAUAAGUGUGUGAGCAACACAUCCUAGAAAAUGGACUCGCUCUUCCUCUUCAAUCAGAUAUCCACAUGCUAUGCAAGAGAUUAUUUCAAUAGCAUGUGUAAGUUUGUAACCCACAAUUAUACUUGUGUCGGGGAAUAAAAAUGUUGAAAUUUUAAAGUUUUCAAAUGCUUCAUGCAUGCUGGAUCCAUUCCUAGCUCUGUUAUUAAUUGUAGUGUAUGACCUAGUUCUUGAAAUUUGGCCGUGUUCAUGAAAGUUUUUGGGGGUUAUGCUCUAUAAAUUGACCCUCUUGCAUCCAUGAAUGGUAAUGACUUCUCCAUGUGAUAUUUGAACUGUAUUUUCUCCGUCAACUCAAUAGUCAAGUAAUCAACCUUAACCAUAUAUAUGCAUAACCACUUGGCCAUGGACCACGUGGUGAACCCACGCCCUUACCGUUGGCAAAAUCUGGAUCCGGAUACUAGAUCCGCAUUUACACUUAUACGUCCAAAUCCACAAGUUUUUUGCAGAUCCAGAUGCGGGUAAAGUUCGCAAUGGAUGCGAACGGAUACUCCAAAUAUGUGAAUCAGUAAAAAUUAAAAUUUAAUAAUUUAAUAUAUAAUUUUAAAAUAAACAAUUUACCUAAUAAUUAUCUAAUAAUAUCAAAUAAAAUUCAAUCAUAAUUUAACAAUUAACAAUUCAACAUGAAUAAGUAAAUAAAAUCCAACAACAUGAUAAAUCCACAAAUAAAAAUAUCACAAUAUAAAUCAAACAAAAAAUAACAUAAAUUCAAGCACACCACCAUUAAAAUCCGCAAAUAAAAACACUACAAAUCCAUGGAAAUUUCAAGCUUCGAAUCCAACAUAUGAUGCCGCCAUUUGGAGAGAAUGAAAAAUUAUUUCCUUGCUCCCCUUCGGCCAUGUUCAACUAAUCCCGAAACCUAAUUAAAGUAAUAUGCAAAGUGAGUUAGCAUAUGUGAAGAAAAAAAAUGAGAUCAAGCAUUUACAUUAUAUUGAAAAUUCAUGCAUUUAAUUAAAAUAAUUAAACAAAUCAGCAAAGAAAAUUAAGCAAAAUUAAAUUAAAUUAAAUCAGCAAGGAAAUUAAAUCAAGCCAGCAACAUUUUCUAGUUUUAACAUAUUUACAUUAGAUUAAACUCAUCAAAUACAAUCAAACAAUUAGCCACAAUACCAAAUUAUUAACCAAAAAAAAAGCAAUGUAAUUAAUAGAAACGUGCAGUAACAACUACCGACAAGAACAAGCCAAUCAGGCAAGGCUUCGAUGAUGGCAAGGUGUGCAACGUGCAGUGACAACAACGUGCUCAGGAUUGCUUCAACACGAGGCCAGGUGAGGCUGCGAGGAAGAUGGCGAUCGGUCGACAAUGUUACUAGCCCUUUGGUUUUGGGCAUUAGAGAUUUGAGGAUCAUGGUUGCUGGUGAGGUGAGCUACCAUGAGUCGGUGAGUGUGUGUGAAAUUUGAAUGCAUUAUUGUCUUAGGGUUAGGGAUUAGAUUUUUUUUUUAAAAUUUAAGUUAAUAAAUAUUUUAAUUCAAUUUUUAAUUUAAAAUACAAUUCAUCCGGAUUCGGAUAUCCAGUUUUCUAGAUGCAAGUGCAUCCAGAUCUGUGCGGAUUUUAAUUUUUCAAAUCUAGAUUUUUUUGCCAUCCCAACACGCCCUUACCAAAGUGAGGGCAUGGGUUCGAGUUCCUAAAAGGAACUCUAAUAUAAUUAUUAGUAUAAUUUUUAUAGUGUUAUAUAUAUGUGUGUGUGUGCGCGCGCGCGCGCAUGAUCAUUUGGCUUGAGCUAAGCCAAGAAGGCCAUGUUUCGAUGUUGGAUAAAAUGUGGGAUUAGACUAAUUUAAAGGAUAAAAAAAUUAGUCCAAUCCAGAGUUAUGUUUGGUUGUCAGGACUAAUAAAUUAGUCCGAAUUUUAGUCCAACAUUCAUAGGACUAUUAAUCCUCAUUUUCAUAUGGGUUUAGAUAGGACUAAAUAUUUGAUAGUUUAAAUUUGUUACUAAUGUCAAAAUUUUAUUCAAUAAUUCAUUUUUAACUUUUUUAAAAGUUAAUAUUAAAUCAAAAUUUUAAUUCAAUAAUUUAUUUUAACUAGUAUGUAAUAUAUUAAACAUAAAAAAUUAUUCAAUGUAUUUAAUUCCAAUAAUAUUAAAAUCUGAAUAUUAAAUUUAAUAAAUAGCAAUAUGAUUUAAAAAAUAAUAUAUGAUUUAAAUAGUUAUUUUAGCUUCAUUAAAUUAAAUUUAACAUAGUUUUGUUUGAUAUUAUACCAAACAAAAGACAAUACUAUAUAAUACAGUAUAAUCAAAUCAAAUCUAAUCUAAUCUUAUCUAAUUUUAGAGUUAAUCCAGUCCAAUUCGAUUUUCCAAACGUAGCCGAAGAGUUUACUGGUUACUGCUAUUAGCACAAACCUCUAACAAAUUCAAGAUCAAAAACUGACUUAGAGGGAAAGAGAUGCAUACUUUUGUAAAUGUUCGUAAUUUGAAAAGUUUCAUUUUUUAUCAUUGUUGUUAUCAAAAAGUUUUGAAGGCAAAGAGGGUUUCACACCUUCAGACUUAUCCAAUCCAAACAAAUUUCCUUCGGACUGAAAGAGACAUAUGCUUGCUUUUCCACGACUGAUCAAAGACGGAGAUGCUUUAUUCUGUUGCAAUAAUUUAAUCAUGACGUAAACCAAGCUACUUUUCUGAUAAAUAACUAAUUUCGGAGAUUUGUGCCUAAAUUUGUAAUGACAAUUUAAAAUAUAAUUAUAAAUGUGGUUGUCGUAUAAAUUUCAAAUUAAUAAUCAAUCAUCAACUCUAGCAAUGGAAAACAAAAAAUUAUAUGAUUUAUUGAUUGAUGGAUGAGAAAACUAUACAAUUCGUUACAACUUUAUUUUUGAACUUUACAAUUCAGAAAAUGAUUUUUCGAAGUUAAAUUUAUUGUAACUUACAUUUAAAAUUUUCAAUGUAAAAAUAAAUAACAAAACAAUGGAACUAAGUGGAUCAAUGGUUGAAUUUUAUUUAAUUGUAAAUUAAAGAGACUUCAAAAAAUAAUGUCUACUUAAUUAGAAAAAUUCUGGAUAAUUUUACUAAGACACGCUAAUUAUAAAUAAAACCUUGAGCUAAUGGCGGAUUUUAUUACCUCCUUGAAGUUAAAAUCACAAAGUUUAUUUCUCCUUAAUAAUUUGUAUAAAGAAAUAAAUAUUUAUAAAUAUAUCCUAAAUAUUAGUGAAUAAAAUAAAUUAGUAAGUAGUGAAGAAAGUAGACAGCUGGUCCUUUGAGCGGAAUUUUUCAAAAAUUCCAUAUUAAAUUUUCACUUAAGUUUUUUAUUUGCCUCCAAUAAAAUUUAUAAUUUUUUGUUCCUGUUGGCUUUAAAAAUUAACAAAAUAAUAGAUACAAAAUUACAUUUUAAUCAUCAAAACCAGCACAUUAAACCUAAAAUUGAGUAUAAACACCUCGAAAAUUUUCUAAAUAAAAUCUGCCCCCACCUCUGGCUCUUCCACCGUCUGCAUCAUCACAGUCCUUUCUGUUCAUCAGUGAAAUUAAAAUAACGAAAUUGCAGAGAAAGAGAAUGAAAGUAGUAGAAGAUUCUAGAAUUCCCCUUAUUCAAGUGACCUCAUAAUAAAUAAUCCGAUAAUGUUAGCGGUUUUUUCUUUUUAAUAAUUAAUAAUUUUUUAAUUAUUGCUAACCCCAUCUACACGUUUCUCAUUAUUUUUAUAAUUAACAAUUAUUCUAUAUAGUUUUAACUGUUAUUUUGUUGUCAUUUUAUAAAAAAUUUUAAAAUAAAUAUUAGGAAAAAUAUAAAGAAACUAAAUGCUGACAAAACUUGAUAAAAUAAACUAGAACAAUUUAUGAUUUCAGAGUAUGAAAUGUUAUAAUUUAUUUUAUUAGUCUUUUUUCAAAUUUUUUCAAUUUAAAUGUCAGCAUUUAAAUAUCAGUACUAAAAGGAGGAGGAGGAUGAUGGUGCUAAACCAAUAUUAUAAAAGUGUUCAGAAUCCAAUUCGAUCCGCUCAAUCCAUUUGAUCUAUAGAAAUUCGAUUUGUGGAUUAAUAGAUUAGAUUGAAAAUUUGAAAAUCCGCAGUUGGUAGAUUGGAUAUGCAUUUACUUCUGUACAUCUACAAAAAUCCGUGAAUCCAUAAAAUAAUAAAAAAUAUUUAUUUAAUUAAAAAAUUAAACUUGUAAAAAUGGCAUUAGUAUUUAUUAAUAAAUAAACAAGUUAAAAUAUCGUUAUAUUAACACCAUAUUAUAUCUUGUUCUAUAAUAAUAAAAAAUAAUUACAUAAACAAAUAUAGCUUCCUAAAUAGUUAAUUUUCAUGUACUAAUCUACGCAAAUGUGAUUUUUCUCUUUGGCGUGUUGUAUUUUGAAACUUUAAAUGUAUUAAACAAUUAAUUUAUUUAAAUCUUAUUUAAUUUUGAAUUUGAUUGGUAGUAAAAUGAUUUUUAUAUUAAUUUUUUUUUUCAUUUAGUUAGUUCGUGGAUUGGACAGAAUUAAAAAUUUUUAGUCCGCAAACCAAUCCGUAAAAUGAUGAAUUGUCUGUGGAUUGGAUCAAAUCUACAUCAAAUCUUCUGACAUAUGGAUUGAAUUUGGAUUGAAUUUUAUUAAUCCGUAUGUUGAAUUCGAUUAAAAUUUUAUAAUCCGUAAAAUUCGAUCCGCAAACAGUUCUAUCGAAUAAGAGGAUGGUGGUAGGGUCUCAAGACUCAAACUAUGCUAGUAAGAAGCUGAUGGCCUAAUACUUUUUACAAUUUUCCAUAUUAUUUUUGUCACUCUGUUCGUUGAGUGGCCUCCAAGAAAUUGAUUGUGAGAAUGUAGAGUUAACACCGUUGGAGAAACAACCAGAAGCUCUCUCACUGUAGCACAACGCGCAUGGGAACGUAGAGUUAACGCCUUCACUCUUUGAUUGUAUAAAUUGAGUAACAUGAUCACACUCGCACUCACUCUUUGGGUCUCCCAGAGCAAAUUGUUCCCAUCAAACCAGAGAGAGAGAUACCACUGUAACUGUUUUGAAUUACAUACUCUCAUUUUCCUUUGAACUUCCUUUUAUUGUUAUAAAAAAAAAAAUUCUGAAAUGGAGAGUGGGUACAAAUUCCAGCCAUCUAAUGAACUAAUCCUCCGUCUUCUCAAGGAGAAGAGGCUUAACCCCCGUUUCUCAUAUCAUCCUAUCAAGGAUAUUGAUCAUAUCUGCAGCCUUAAGCCAUGGGACUUACCAAGUACGUAUAUGUAAUUUUUUUUCUUUUCUUUUUCUUUCUAAGCUGUUGCACUGAAGAAUUUUUCCAAUUGAACUAACCGGUACGCGACAUAUACUUUUAUGAUGCAGCGGAAUCAAAAACUGAGUCUGAGGAUCAAGUUUUUUACUUUUUCUAUGAACCUCGUUACAAGUACAGGAACAGUAACCGGGUCGACAGAAGAACAGAAGCAGGGCAAUGGAAAAUUACCAGUAAAGAUUCCCAAAUCGAAGCUGGAAACGGCCUUACUGGUACCAAAAAGUUCUUGACUUUCUACUGCCGUGGUCCUGAUUCUAAGGUACCAGUUAAGACCGACUGGGGUAUGCAUGAGUACCAUAUCAAGAACGACGCCAGUUAUAAGGUAUGAGCCUAAUUUGUUUUUGUGACUCACUUGAAAGUUCAUUUCUUUUAUGCACUGUUAAAUCUUUGGAUGUAUAAUAAGGCUAGCUCUUCUUGAUGAUUGACGUGAUUAAUUGGUGAAGCAUGCCAGAUUAUUGUGUCUAUUGGAGAUAUAUAAUAGGAUUAGUUAACCGGACCGUCUUAAGGUGUACAUCUUUGUUGCCUAUUACUUAAACGUUAAUGGGUAGGAUCGUCGUAUCACGAUGAAAGAAAUUGUGACGGUAUUUAAAAUGCAACUACAAAUAAGUGUCCGAAAGCAUUUGCAUGACUUGAUGAAUGAAUCUGUUAUUGUUUGGUGAGUAGCAAUUCUGGCAGUGCUAACGAAUAUCUGAAAAUUAAUUGAUAGUGCUUUAUUCCUUAUUUUGGUUUUGCCUUUAAUUUAUGCAGAGGGAAUUUGUUGUGUGUUGCAUAAAACGAAAACGCAUUUAAAAAUAAUAAUUUAUUACUAUUAUUAUUUAAAAUUUAAAAAAGUAAUAAAAUUUGAGUUUAUAAUACUUAAUAUGUAUUCAAGUGAACGUUAAAAAAAUUUAAGUUAAAUAAAAUUUUUUGAGCUAAGCCCCCCCUCAUUUUAAUUUUUGGAUCCGCCACUGCCCACAGCAACGACCAAAUCACAAUUCGGGCAACUACCAAAUCACAAUUCAAUUUCUUGUCUGGGAAAUCAUGGUGAACAAAAGAUGUACUCUCUUGCGAAUAAUUAUCCACCUACUCAGUUACCAAGUGACCAUUUUAUUACUGCAAUAAAUUAUAGUGGAGAAGAUAGUGCCACAAACCCCCUGCCACCACCAAAUAGCGAUUUGGAGUGGCAGCUACCACUAGAUCAACCUAAUUUUGCAGAAAAUAAUUUUCAGGAGCAACUUCCGCCAAUUGGAGAACUGAACGCAUACGGUAGCUCCAAUUGGCAAAAUGAUGCCUCUUUUUCUGCAAUGCUGACACCAAUUUCUCAAGAAGAAAAAUUAAUGUAUUCUAAUAGUUCUUUUGAUAAUUGUGAUUUUUCUGAUUGUCAAAUUGACAGUGACGAGCAGGUAAAUUACCCCAUCGAUUCCCUAAGGGCUUUCCAGGAUGUAAACUCUCGUAAAGAAACUGGACAAACCCUUAUCCCUGACUUUAAUCCAUCAAAAUCAGAUGGAGAAGCUUCAGCUUAUGCAGAGGAUGGCAGUGAGACAAACACUUCUGACAACGUUGCAUGGGUGAAAGAACUGCUUGACAACGAUCAAUGUCUGCUAGUUGGAGAACUCAAGUCAUACGAUGGCCACAAUGGGCUAAAUGACGCCUCUUUUUCUGCAGUGCAGACGCCAAUUUCUCAAGAACAAGAAUUAAUAUUUUCUAAUAGUUCUUUUGAUAAUUGUCAUUUUUCUGGCAGUCAAAUUUACGGUGAUGAGCAGGUAAAUCACCCGAUCAAUUUCCCAAGGGCUUUUCCGGAUGAAAACUCUCGAAAAGAGACUGGACAAACCCUUACCCCUGACUUUAACCUAUCAAAGUCAGAUGGAGAAGCUUCAGCUGGUGCAGAGGAUAGCAGUGGCAGAAACACAGAUUACAACGAUGCAUGGAUAAAACAACUACUGGAGGAUUUUCCUUAAGUAGCAAAAUUUAAAACAACAAUCAAAUCUUCUUAGAAGUAAUAUUGUUAAAUUUACCAUAUCAUUAUGGGUGAUGAUACUUCACUCUGUUUUAUUGUACUCUGUGCUUUGUAAUCUUAAGUAGCACGUAAACAACUAUGAAUUCCUCUACGAGGAAAGUAAUUGUACUUUUAAGUAGCAUGUAAAGAACUAUGAAAAAUCCUCGUAGGAGAAAAGUUCUGUAAUCUUAAGUAGUAUGUAAACAAUUAUGAAAUCCUCUUAGGAGGAAAGUACUGUAAUCUUAAGCAGCAUGUGGACAAUUAUGAAAUCCUCUUAGGAGGAAAGUAUUGUAAUCUUAAGCAGAAUUAUAAACAACUAUGAAAUCCUCUUAGGAGGAUUAUUAUUGAUAAUGUGAUAUUGUCUAGUAAUCUUUGAGACUCGUUACAUACUAACGUAAUUGUUGUUUAGAUUGAUUGUAUACUCCAUUUGGUCUGUAUCCAGCAUCUCUGUGUAGCAUAAGGUCAAGAUAAUUGGUUUAAGUUUUUCUGUCCUUUAGUUCUUGCUGGGUUCGUAUUCGAUCAUAUGUGGAACACUGGAAUCUCACCAUCCAAUCCGAGCAAACUACUUCCUGGAAAAGGGUACAUGAUUGUGAAGGAGGAGGGAAAGUAACUUGCAACUGUAAAAUCAAAGAAGGAACCAAAGGAAAGUGGUGUCGCAUCGUGGGGUCUUAAGCUACUUGGGCAACGCGUCCAUUCUUUUAUUUUAUUUUUUUAUUUUUUGAAAAAUCAUAUUUAUCCAUUAUUUAUUGUUAGCAAAUAACUACGAAAGUUAAAGAAGUUUG